rnacentral:lncRNA from 1 species
CCAAAUCUACCAUUUCCACCGCCAUUGCCAUACCCGCCACCAUAUCCAGGUCCAUAGCCUCCACCACUGUAACCACACCCAUAACCGCCAACGUGCCCAGAAUUGCCGUAUCCUCCAUCAUACCCACCAACAUUGUUUCCAUAACCUCCAUUGCCAUAACCUCCACCAUUGUUCCCGUAUCCACCGUUUCCAUAACCUUCACCACUAUUUACAUAUCCCCCACCGUUACCGUAUCCACCACCGCUUCCAUACCCUCCACCGUUUCCGUAUCCUCCAUCAUGAUUGUUUCCACCUCCCCAUUUCUCUUCCUUAGGCAGGCCCGACCCUCCUGCAGGUUUCACAUUCUUCUCCUUGGACUCUGCAUGAACAAAAUUCCUUAAUGAACAUUGCUUGAGGUAGGCAAGUAGUGAACAUUGCUUGAGGUAGACAGGUAGCCGUGCAUAUAUAGGAUGAAGUAUGAGUUGUGUAGUCUACUGUGUUAGUAAAUACGUAUAAGAGAGAACAUGUUUUACAAACCUUUAACAUCUGUAAGCUCUCUGGCAGCCGCUACAUCCUCGGAGAGAAGCAGGAGCGAGGCUAGUACGACACCAAGAAGAACUAGAGACUUGACCGCCAUUGGCGAUGAUCAGUUUGAUCCGGUUAUAAUAGCUAGUUUGGGAUGAGAUGAUAUCGCUGCUAGAAUUACCGUACUUAUAGAAGAGGCAAGACAUGUAUGCAUGCACGCCUAUGCCUACCUCCAAUUUUAAAAGUUUCAACCUUCGAUAACUCCAUGCACCGGUAUGGUUGGCUGUUAGCUAGGAUAUGAUCAAACCGGGACCGGGCUUUGGUAUAUCUCGUUGUCACAUUUGAUUAGCUACCCCGAGAGUGUAGAACCACUUGCUAACAAGAACGAUGUGUAAACUGCUACACAGCCGAAGCUUUGUGGACGAUUUUCAGACGAUCAACGCAUCAAGCCAUCCAUGGGUAGACCAAAAUUGAAUAACGCCGUUCGAUCCACCAAUCGUCCAAAGGUCGGCCGGCAACUGUCGUCCUUACCGCAAUUUCGUGCUAACAAAGUAGACAUUAUCCACUUUUGUGCACUACCCCCCCAUUUCAAAAUAGAUGACCCAACUUUGUACUUCAUCUAUUUUGGAAUGGAGGGAGUAUUAAUUAUUAUUAUCGGAUUCCUUGAUCGAUUAUAUCCUGGUUAUUAAUUUGACUCAUCAUGCUAACAUACAGUGUAAAGGCACCUACAUUGCGGACCCUUAAAACACUCGCAUAUGUCCGGACAUAACUGUCGGGACGCAGUGUGUCAUUAAACGUGGUAUCCUAUUAGUCUGUAGAUCAGUCAGGAUAUUGGAAAUUCUAAAAGCCAGAUGCAAACCAAGGGGCUUUGAAGACGUCCAAAUCGAUGGCACAUACGCGUCUGACACCCCAGGCCCGCCCAGAAACCGAGCCCGCGCCCGCUCACUCUCCCGUACGAACCAGUUGCUGCACAUUCAUGCCGGUCAGCACAACUCAGAAUGCCAGCUUCACAUUAAUGUCGGCUCGGAGCGGACACGACCUUUCACUGGAGCCGGCAUUGUAGCGGCAUGCGGGCCAAGAGGGACGCCCGGUCUCCGUGCAUGUUCUGAUAUAAAGAUGCGUGACGGGACAUGACUGGAGCGAUGCGGGAGAGCCUCUCGGCGGAGCAUUCAAACCGGCUCCCACCCGUCCGCCCACCGACAUUAAACAGGUGUGGUGACCGAGAAACCCACUCUGACACCCGCAUUUAUAUAGCCCACCGCUUGGCCUGGACGAUACCCCCUCCUCGCCCGGCACCACCGCACCACGCACAACACGUCCGCCAUGAUCGUGAGCUCUUGAGCGAUGUGGGAGAGCCUCUUGACAAAGUAGAAGUAGGAGUUGGCCGGCAUUGCGACCGACUGGAAGGUCCAUCGUGCGCGACAGACUGAGGCUGGCUUGCUGGUGAGCGCGCCGGAGGUCAGUGACGAGACGACGGAGGAGGCAUCCGACGACGAGCCGGUGCUGUCGUCCGUGCAGAUGCACUUUAACACCAUCAUGGUGGAAAAGCAGUCGGCUCCGUCUGUGUCGGCAUUCCGACAUGUGCAGGAGGACCAACGCUGCAACCUCUUGCUCCUUGACGAGCACCGGCUCAUGGAGGGGCAAAUCGUCGGCGAACAGGCAAAUGACGAUGUCGUCAUGGCCACGGUCACAAAAGAUUCGGGCUUCCUUGAUGAGCAGUGGGCGCUAUACCAGUCCAUGCGUGACUCUUGUGACGCCCGUUGUGAUCGAUGGUGGUUGUGUAUCCUGUGGGAAAAGAGAGAUACCCUAUUCUCGGAUAUCGGUGCCGAGGUAGACGAAGAGGAGGCGUAGACGACCAUGGAUAUCGCAAGCUCCGUGUGGGACGUGCCACCCAUGUGGUUCGCUUCCCAUCACAACGACCAUGAGCUUGGUCUGUCCACAACCGGCGUUGAAGACACGACGAACUCCGCCGACUAAGAGUAUGACAUGGGACGUUUGAACGCUUGGUGUCGCAUGUGGGUUGUGCCCUCACAUCUUAUUCUUCCCCUCUCACAGCUUCACUUCCCAGGGUUCACGGUCGCCGAGCUCGCCGAACUUGGGGAAGACAGGACAUGGGACACGGCCGCCACCAUGGCCGGCAAACAUUUAGACUACGUCAAAAAAAGUGUCACCCACUUUUGUUUAGUUGAAAUAUGUCAAAAAUGUUAUGAAUUCGAUUAUGUUUAAAUGAAAAUCGUCCGAUUUACAUGAAAUUUGCCCUAUUCGUUCCAAUUUCUUUUGAAAUGUGUCAGGACGUAUGAUGUCUAGGGUUUGGAUAGCCGGCUCUUGUUAUCCGUGGAUGCGUCCACAAACAAAUAUCAUGUCUGUUUUAAGAGUCGCCUUGGGGAUGUCCUUAUAUAAAAAUAUAUGCUUACACGUACACACUAAAGUGGCGCCCAUAGCUUUAACGUGAAAAUGCUUAUACUCUUUUCUUUUGGUACUCUAAUGAACUAAUUUAGUUAGCUAAUUAAUUCAUCUUUUUCAUAACUACAUAUUUUAACCUUUUCAUUAGUUCAAUGAAACUGAUCUCAAUAAUUUUUAAAAUUAGACGACUAUGCUCUCUUUAGGGUCUGUUGGAGUAUGAUGUCUGGCCCUCUCCCAUAGUUCGUACUUUUAAGUAACUUGGCUGGCGCAUCAGUUCAAUAUGGUAUCCGAGCCAAGAGGUCUUGGGUUCAAGACCCUGCCAAUGCAGUAUUAAAUAAAACGAUUCUGCGGCCUACAUCGAUUCAACGUCUGAGGACUAAACUAGCCUAGACGUGAGGGAGAGUGUUGAAAUAUAUUGCCCACCUCCCUCCAUCAGUUUGGACUUUUGGAUGAGUUGAACUCCUCGGAUGAGGACGAAGAGGACUAUAUGGCCCGUGUGCAGCUCGCGGCCGAGCGUGCCAGUGAGGACUACGUGUCAUCACUUCAGGUGGACCCAUAGCUCUCUGAUGAGAACCACGCUCUCCUCGAGUCAAUCAAGGACGAAUGGGAGGUCGAGGCCAAUCGCUAGGAGAUGGCACAAUGUCGUGUCGAGAAACAUAAGAUUUCACCGAGAUCGACAAGUUCGUCGACGAGCCGAAGGUCGUUGCCAUGGAUUCGGUCCACCGCCAAUGAUCACGAGGUGAGCCCUGAAGGAAAUAUGCCCUAGAGGCAAUAAUAAAGUUGUUAUUUUAUAUUUCCUUAUAUCAUGAUAAAUUUUUAUUAUUCAUGCUAGGUAUUAAUCGGAAACUUGAUACAUGUGUGAAUACAUAGACAAAACACCGUGUCCCUAGUAUGCCUCUACUUGACUAGCUCGUUGAUCAAAGAUGGUUAAGUUUCCUAGCCAUGGACAUGUGUUGUCAUUUGAUGAACGGGAUCACAUCAUUAGUGGAAUGAUGUGAUGGACAAGACCCAUCCGUUAGCUUAGCAUAAUGAUCAUUCAGUUUUAUUGCUACUGCUUUCUUCAUGUCAAAUAUAUAUUCGUCUGACUACGAGAUUAUGCAACUCCCGGACACUUGAGGAAUGCCUUGUUUGCUAUCAAACGUCACAACGCAACUGGAUGAUUAUAAAGAUGCUCUACAGGUAUCUUUGAAGGUGUUUGUUGGGUCGGCAUAGAUCGAGAUUAGGAUUUGUCACUCUGAGUAUCAGAGAGGUAUCUCUGGGUCCUCUCGGUAAUGCACAUCAUAUGAAGCCUUGCAAGCAAUGUGAUUAAUGAGUUAGUUAUGGGAAGAUGCAUUACAGAACGAGUAAAGAGACUUGCUGGUAACGAGAUUGAACUAGGUAUAAAGAUACCGACGAUCGAAUCUCGGGCAAGUAACAUACCGAUGACAAAGGGAAUAACAUAUGUUGACAUUGCGGUUCGACCGAUAAAGAUCUUCGUAGAAUAUGUGGGAACCAAUAUGAGCAUCCAAGUUCAACUAUUGGUUAUUGACCGGAGAGGUGUCUCGGUCAUGUCUACAUAGUUCUCAAACCCGUAGGGUCCGCACGCUUAAUGUUCAAUGAAGAUAUGUAUUAUAUGAGUUAUGUGUUUUGGUGACCGAAGGUUGUUCGGAGUCCCGGAUGAGAUCACGAACAUGACGAGGAGUCUAUAAAUGGUCGAGAGGUAAAUAUUGAUAUAUUGGAAGGUAGUAUUCGGAUACCAGAAGGGCUCCGGAGUGUAUCGGGUACAUACCGGAAUACCGGAGGGGUUACCGGAACCCAUCGGGGAAAGAUAUGGGCCAUAUGGGCCAUAGGAGGGAGGCUAACCAGCCCACAAGGGGCUGGUGCGCCCCCACAAGGGAGGAGGCCGAAUUGGACUAGGGAAGUGGGCGCCACCCCCCUUUCCUUCUCCUACUCCCUCUCCUUCCCCCUUUUCCCCUACGGUAGAAGGAAGAGGGAGGGGACGAAUCCAACUAGGAGUCCAAGUGGGACUCCUUCCUACUUGGGACGCAUCCUAGGCUGGCCUCCUCUCCCUCCCUCCUUUAUAUACAAGGGGGGCUAUGAGACACAAUAAUUGCUCUUAGCCGUGUGCGGCGCCCCCCUCCACAGUUUACGCCUCCGGUCAUAUUCUUGCGGUGCUUAGGCGAAGCCCUGCGCGGAUCACAUCACCAUCACCAUCACCAUGCCGUCGGGCUGACGGAACUCAUCUACUCCUUCAACCCUCUGCUGGAUCAAGAGCUUGAGGGACGUCAUCACGCUGAACGUGUGUAGAACUCGGAGGUGCCAUACAUUCGGUACUCGAUCGGUCGGAACAGGAAGAUGUUCGACUACGUCAACCGCGUUGAGCAAACGCUUCCGUUUUCGGUCUACGAGGGUACGUGGACACACUCUCCCCCUCUCGUUGCUAUGCAUCUCCUAGAUAGAUCUUGCGUGAGAGUAGGACUUUUUUUAAAAUUGCAUGCUACGUUUCCCAACAGUUGCAUCCGAGCCAGGUCUAUUCGUAGAUGAUAUGCACGAGUAGAACACAAAGAGUUGUGGGCGGUGAUCAUCAUACUGCUUACCACCAAUAUCUUAUUUUGAUUCCGCGGUAUUGUUGGAUGAAGCGGCCCAAACCAACCUUACAUGACCACGUUCAUGAGACCGGUUCCACCGACAUACAUGCAACUAGUUUUGCAUAAAGGUGGCUGACGGGUGUCUGUUUCUCCAACUUUAGUUGAAUCGAAUUUGACCGCGGCCGGUCCUUGUGAAGGUUAAAACAACAAACUUGAUAAAUAAACAUUGUGGUUUUUGUGCCGUAGGUAAGUAUGGUUCUUGCUAGAAGCCCGUAGCAGCCACGUAAAUCUUGCAACAACAAAGUAGAGUGCAUGGCAUGUUGUGAUGUGAUAUGGUCAAGACAUGAUGUGAUAUACGUUGUUGUAUGAGAUGAUCAUGUUUUGUAAAAGUUAUCGACAACUGGUAGGAGUCUUAUGGUUUUUGCUUUAAUGUAUGAAAUACAAACGCCAUGUAAUUGCUUUACUUUAUCACUAAGCGGUAGCGAUAGUCGUAGAAGCAAUAGUUGGCGAGACGACCACGACGCUACGACAGAGAUCAAGGUGUCAAGUCGGUGACGAUGGAGAUCAUGAUGUUGCUUUGAUGAUGGAGAUCAAAAGCACAAGAUGAUGAUGGCCAUAUAAUGUCACAUAUUUUGAUUGCAUGUGAUGUUUAUUUUUAUGCAUCUUAUUUUUCUUAGUAUGGUGGUAGCAUUAUAAGAUGAUCCGUACGAAAAUUUCAAGGUAUAAGUGUUCUCCCCGAGUAUGCACCGUUGCGAAAGUUCUUCGUGUUGAGACACCACAUGCCGACCGGGUGUGAUAAGGUCUACGUUCAAAUACAACGGGUGCAAGCCAGUUUUGCACAUGCGGAAUACUCGGGUUAAACUUGACGAGCCUAGCAUAUACAGAUAUGGCCUCGGAACACUAGAGACCGAAAGGUCGAACGUGAAUCAUAUAGUGGAUAUGAUCAACAUAGAGAUGUUUACUAUUGAUGACUACUCCAUCUCACGUGAUGAUCGGACAUGGUUUAGUUGAUUUGGAUCACGUAUCAUUUAGAUGACUUGAAGGAUGUCUAUCUAAGUGGGAGUUCUUAAGUAAUAUGAUUAACUGAACUUAAUUUAUCAUGAACUUAGUCCUGAUAGUAUUUGCAAAUUAUGUUGUAAAUCGAUAGCUCGCGUUGUAGCUUCCUUAUGUUUUUUGAUAUGUUCCUAGAGAAAAUUAAGUUGAAAGAUGAUAGUAGAAAUGAUGCGAAAUGGGUCCGUGAUCUGAGGUUUAUCCUCAUUGCUGCACAGAAGAAUUAUGUCCUUGAUGCACCGCUAGGUGACUGACCUACUGCAGGAGCAGAUGCAGACGUUAUGAACAUUUGGCUAGCUCAAUAUGAUGACUACUUGAUAGUUUAGUGCACAACACUUUAUGACUUAGAACCGGGACUUUAAAAACGUUUUGAACACCACGGAGCAUAUGAGAUGUUCCAAGAGCUGUAAUUGAUAUUUCAGACUCAUGCCCAUGCCGAGAGGUAUGAGACCUCUGACAAGUACUUCGCCGAAAAGAUAGAGGAGAAUAGCUCAGCUAGUGAGCAUGUGCUCAGAAUGUCUGGGUACUAUAAUCGCUUGAAUCAAGUGGGAGUUAAUAUUCCAGAUAAGAUGGUGAUUGACAGAGUUCUCUAGUCACCAUCACCAAGUUACUGGAACUUCGUGAUGAACUAUAAUAUGCAUGGGAUGACAAAAGUAAUUCCCGAGCUCUUCAUGAUACUGAAAUCGAUGAAGGUAGAAAUCAAGAAAAAAGCAUCAAGUUUUGAUGAUUAAACAAGACCACUAGUUUCAAGAAAAGGGCAAAGGGAAAGAAAGGGAACUUCAAGAAGAAUGGCAAGCAAGUUGUCACUCCCGUGAAGAAGCCCAAAGCUGGACCUAAGCCUGAAACUGAGUGCUUCUACUGCAAAGAAAAUGGUCACUGGAAGCAGAACUACCCCAAAUAUUUGGCGGAUAAGAAGGAUGGCAAAGUGAACAAAGGUAUAUUUGAUAUACAUGUUAUUGAUGUGUACCUUACUGUUGCUCGUAGUAACCCCUGGGUAUUUUAUACCAGUUCGCUUGCUAAGAUUAGUAACUCGAAACAGGAGUUGCAGGAUAAAUAGAGACUAGUUGAGGGUGAAGUGACGAUGUGUGUUGGAAGUGGUUCUAAGAUUGAUAUGAUCAUCAUCGCACACUCUCUAUACUUUCGGGAUUAGUGUUGAACCUAAAUAAAUGUUACUUGGUGUUUGCAUUGAGCAUGAAUAUGAUUAGAUCAUGUUUAUUGCAAUAGAGUUAUUCAUUUAAGAUAGAGAAUAAUUGUUAUUCUAUUUACAUGAAUAAAAUCUUCUAUGGUCAUACACCCAAUGUUAAUGGUUUAUUGAUUCUCGAUCGUAGUGAUACACAUAUUCAUAAUAUUGAUGCCAAAGAUGUAAAGUUGAUAAUGAUAGUGCAACAUACUUGUGGCACUUCCGUUUAGGUCAUAUCGAUGUAAAGCACAUGAAGAAACUCCAUGCAGAUGGACUUUUGGAAUCAUUUGAUUAUGAAUCAUUUGAUACUUGCGAACCGUGCCUCAUGGGCAAGAUGACUUAAACUCCAUUCUCCGGAACAAUGGAACGAGCAAUGAAUUAUUGGAAAUAAUAUAUACCGAUGUAUGCGGUCCGAUGAGUGUUGAAGCUCGUGGCAGGUAUUCUUAUUUUCAGACAUUCACAGAUGAUUUGAGCAGAUAUGGGUAUAUCUACUUAAUGAAACACAAGUCUGAAACAUUUGAAAAGUUCAAGAAUUUCAGAGUGAAGUGGAGAAUCAUCGUAACAAGAAAAAUAAAGUUUCUAUGAUCUGAUCGUGGAGGUGAAUAUUUGAGUUACGAGUUUGGCCUUCAUUUAAAACAAUGUGGAAUAGUUUCACAGAUCACGCCACCUGGAACACCACAGUGUAAUGGUGUGUCCGAACGUCGUAACCGCACUUUAUUAGAUAUGGUGCGAUCUAUGAUGUCCCUUAUCGAUUUACCACUGUUGUUUUGGGGUUAUGCAUUAGAGACAGCUGCAUUCACGUUAAACAGGGCACCGUCAAAAUCCAUUGAGACGACACCGUGAACUGUGGUUUGGCAAUAAUCCUAAGCUGUUGUUUUUAAAGUUUGGGGAUGUGAUGCUUAUGUCAAAAGGCUCCAACCUGAUAAGCUCGAACCCAAAUUGGAGAAGUGCGUCUUUAUAGGAUACCCUAAGGAAACAAUUUGGUACACCUUCUACCAUAGAUUCGAAGGCAAUAUUUUUGUUGCCAAGAAUGGAACCUUUCUAGAGAAGGAGUUUCUCCCGAAAGAAGUGAGUGGGAGGAAAGUAGAACUUGAUGAGGUAAUUGUAACUUCUCUCAAUUUGGAAAGUAGCUCAUCCGAGAAAUCUGUUCCGGUGAUGUCUACACCAACUGGAGAGGAAGCUAAUGAUAAUGAUCAUUAAACUUCAGCUCAAGUUGCUACAGAACCUCGUAGGUCAACCAAAGCACGAUCCACACUGUUCUGUAAGUCAUGUUACUUGACCAUGAUGAACCUACAAACUAUGAAGAAACUAUGAUGAGCCCAGUUUCUGACAGAUGGCUUGAGGCCAUGAAAUCUGAGAUAGGAUCCAUGUGUGAGAACAAAGUGUGGACUUUGGUGGACUUGCUCGAUGAUCGGCAAGCCAUUGAGCAUAAAUGGAUCUUCAAGAGGAAGACGAACGCUAAUGGUAGUGUUACUAUCUACAAAGCUCGACUAGUCGCAAAAAGGUUUUCAACAAGUUCAAGGUGUUGACUACAAUGAGAUUUUAUCAACCGUAGCAAUGCUUAAGUCUAUCCGAAUCAUGUUAGCAAUUGCCAUAUUUUAUGAAAUCUGGCAAAUGGAUGUCAAAACUGCAUUCCUUAAAUGGAUAUCUCUAAGGAGAGUUGUAUAUGAUGCAACCAGAAGGAUUUGUCGAUCCUAAAGGUGCUAACAAGGUGCGCAAGCUCUAGCGAUCCAUCUAUGGACUGAUGCAAGCAUCUCAAAGUUGGAAUAUACACUUUGAUGAGUUGAUCGAAGCAUAUAGUUUAUACAUACUUGUGGUGAAGCCUGUAUUUACAAGAAAGUGAGUGGGAUCACUACAACCUUUCUGAUAAGGAUAUGUGAAUGACAUAUUGUUGAUCGGAAAUGACGUAGAAUUUUCUGGAAAGCAUAAAGGAGAGUUUGAAAGGAGUUUUUCAAAGAAAGACCUCGGUGAAGCUACUUACAUAUUGGGCAUCAAGAUCUAUAGAGAUAGAUAAGACGCUUUAUAAGAUUUUUCAAUGAGUACAUACCUUGAUAAGAUUUUGAAAGAGUUCAAAAUAGAUCAGUCAAAGAAGGAGUUCUUGCCUGUAUUACAAGGUGUAAAGUUGAGUAAGACUCAAAACCCGACCACGGCAGAAGAUAGAAAGAGAAUGAAAGUCAUUUCCUAUGCCUCAGUCAUAGGUUCUAUAAAGUAUGCCAUGCUAUGUACCAGACCAGUUGUGUGCCUUGCUAUGAGUUUGGCAAAAGGGUACGAUAGUGAUCCGGGAGUGGAUCACUGGAUAGCGGUCAAAGUUAUCCUUAGUUACCUAAGAGGACUAAGGAAGUAUUUCUCGGUUAUGGAGGUGAUAAAGAGUUCGUCGUAAAGAGGUACAUCGAUGCAAGUUUACACGGAUCCAGAUGAUUCUGUGUCUCAAUGUGGAUACAUAUUGAAAGUGGGAGCAAUUAGCUAGAGUAGCUCCAUGUAGAGCAUUGUAGAAUAGAAAAUUUGCAAAAUACAUACGGCUCUGAAUCUGGCAGACCCGUUGUCUAAACUUCUCUCACAAGAAAAACAUGAUCACACCAUAGUACUCUUUGGGUGUUAAUCACAUAGCGAUGUGAACUAGAUUAUUGACUCCAGUAGACCAUUUGGUUGUUGUCAUAUGGCGAUGUGAACUAUGAAUGUUAAUCACAUACAGAUGUGAGCUAUUGGUGUUAAAUCACAUGGCGAUGUAAACUAGAUUAUUGACUUUAGUACAAGUGGGAUACUAAAGGAAAUAUGCCUAGAGGCAAUAAUAAAGUUGUUAUUUUAUAUUUCCUUAUAUCAUGGUAAAAGUUUAUUAUUCAUACUAGAAUUUUAUUAAUGGAAACUUGAUACAUGUGUGAAUACAUAGACAAAACACCAUGUCCCUAGUAUGCCUCUACUUGGCUUGCUCGUUGAUCAAAGAUGGUUAAGUCUCCUAGCCAUGGACAUGUGUUUUCAUUUGAUGAAUAGUAUCACAUCAUUAGUGGAAUGAUGUGAUGGACAAGACCCAUCCGUUUUCUUAGCAUAAUGACCGUUCAGUUUUAUUGCAACUGCUUUCUUCAUGUCAAAUAUAUAUUCCUCCGACUAUGACAUUAUGCAACUCCCGGACACCAGAGGAAUGCCUUAUGUGCUAUCAAACGUCACAACGUAACUGGGUGAUUAUAAAGAUGCUCUACAGGUAUCUCCGAAGGUGUUUGUUGUGUUGGCAUAGAUCGAGAUUAGGAUUUGUCACUCCGAGUAUCGGAGAGGUAUCUCUGGGCCCUCUCGGUAAUGAACUUCAUAUGAGGCCUUGCAAGCAAUGUGACUAAUGUGUUAGUUAUGGGAUGAUGCAUUACGGAACGAGUAAACAGACUUGCCGGUAACGAGAUUGAACUAGGUAUAAAGAUACCGACGAUCGAAUCUCGGGCAAGUAACAUACCGAUGACAAAGGGAAUAACGUAUGUUGACAUUGCGGUUCGACCGAUAAAGAUCUUCAUAGAAUAUGUGGGAACCAAUAUGAGCAUCCAGGUUCCGCUAUUGGUUAUUGACCGAAGAGGUGUCUCGGUCAUGUCUACAUAGUUCUCGAACCCGUAGGGUCCGCAUGCUUAACGUUCGAUGGCGAUAUGUAUUAUAUGAGUUAUGUGUUUUGGUGAUCGAAGGUUGUCCGGAGUCCCGGAUGAGAUCAUGGACAUGAUGAUGAGUCUCGAAAUGGUCGAGAGGUAAAGAUUGAUAUGUUGGAAGGUAGUAUUCAGACACCAGAAGGGCUCCGGAGUGUAUCGAGUACACACCGGAGUACCGGAGGGGUUACCGGAACCCACCGGGGAAAGAUAUGGGCCAUAGGAGGGAGGCUAACCAUCCCACAAGGGAGGAUGCCGAAUUGGACUAGGGAAGGGGGCGCCACCCCUCUUUCCUUCUCCUACUCCCUCUCCUUCCCCCUUUUCCCCUCCGGUAGAAGGAAGGGGGGGGGGGAAUCCAACUAGGAGUCCAAGUGGGACUCCUUCCCACUUGGGGCGCGCCCUAGGCCGGCCUCCUCUCCCUCCCUCCUUUAUAUAUGGGGGGGGCAUGUAACACCCACGAUGCGGCUAUAUCUCCCACGUGUCGGGGCACGACUUAGAGGCAUAACCGCAUUGUGGUUUUGUCACUAGAAGGGUCAUCUUCACACAAUCCCAUGUAAUGAAUAAGAAAGGGAUAAAUAGAGUUGGCUUAGAAUCGCCACUUCACACAAAGAUCAUAUAAUUCAUACAUCAAUCAGAGUACACACAUAGUCCAACUACGUACAAAUCCAAAUGAAAAGAACACAAACCCAAAUGCUAGAUCCCUGAUCGUCCCAACUGGGCUCCACUACUGAUCAUGAGGAAAAUACACGUAGUAACGGCCAAGGACCUCGUCGAACUCCCACUUGAGUUCAGUAGCAUCACCUGCACUGGUAUCAUCGGCACCUGCAAUUAUUUGUAGUAUCUUGUGAGUCAGAGGACUCAACAAUCUCAAAAUGGGCGAGAUCAAGACUAUUUAAGCUUAUGGGUAGGAUGUGGUAAUAAGGUGGAGUUGCAGCAAUUGAUAAGCAAAAUAUGGUGGCAAAAGGCGAGUACAAGAGUAAGAAGAGAAACUACACAACGGUCGUCAUCUAGAAGUGAUCAAGAAGUGAUCCUGAAGACUACUUAUGUUCAAACAUAACCCAAAAUCGUGUUCACUUCCCGGACUCCCCGAGAAGAGACCAUCACGGCUGCACACGCGGUUGAUGCAUUUUAAUUAAGUCAAGUGUCAAGUUCUCAACAAUCGGAUAUUAACAAAUUCCCAUCUGCCACAUAACUGCGGGCACGACUCUCGAAAGUUUAUACCCUGCAGAGGUGUCCCAACUUAGCCCAUCACAAGCUCUCACGAUCAACAAAGGAUAUUCCUUCUCCCGGAAAGACCCGAUCAGUGUCGGAAUCCCGGUUACAAGACAUUUCGACAAUGGUAAAACAAGACCAGCAAGUCCGCCCGAAUGUGCCGACAAAUCCCGAUAGGAGCUGCACAUAUCUCGUUUUCAGGGCACACUAGAUAGGUCAAGCUACGAGUAAAACCAGCCCUCAAGUUUCCCCAAGGUGGCCCCACAGGUUGCCAGGUUCGGGCCAACACUUAGAGGAGCACUGGCCCCAGGGGGUUAAAAAUAAAGAUGGCCCUUGGGUCUGCAGAACCCAAGGGAAAGGUAUAGGUGGUAGGUAGGCAAAUGUUAAAACCAAGGUUGGGCCUUGCUGGAGGAGUUUUAUUCAAAGCGAACUGUCAAGGGGUUCCCAUAAACCCAACCGCGUGAGGAACACAAAAUCAAGGAACAUAACACCGGUAUGACGGAAACUAGGGCGGCAAGAGUGGAGCAAAACACCAGGCAUAAGGCCAAGCCUUCCACCCUUUACCAAGUAUAUAGAUGCAUUAAUUAAAAUAAGAGAUAUUGUGAUAUCCCAACAUAAUCAUGUUCCAACAUGGAGCAAUCUUCAACUUCACCUGCAACUACCAACACUAUAAGAGGGGCUGAGAAAAAUCGGUAUCUUAGCCAAACAACGGUUUGCUAGGAAGGUGGGUUAGAGGCUUGACAUGGCAAUAUGGGAGGCAUGGUAAACAAGUGAUAGGUAGCGCAGCAUAGCGAUAGAACGAAGCAACUAGCAAGCAAAGAUAGAAGUGAUAUCGGGUAAUGGUCAUCUUGCCUGAGAUCCCGCAAGGAAGAGGAACAAGUCCAUGAAGUAGUCGAACUACGUAGUCGAACGAAUCCUCACAACUCCGGAAUGAAACCAAAGCUAACGUGAGAAGCAAACCGAAAAGAAGCAAACAACAUGAUAAACAACCAUCACAUAAACAUGGCACGAUGCACAACCAAGUAUGAUGCAUGUCCGGUUUAAAGAGGCAUGGCAUGGCAAAGUGCAACAAACAAUACUACACGUUAAGUCGAACUCAAUAUGCAAUGGGUUGCAUAUUGACGAAACACCACAUGCAAGUAUUUAGUUCACUCUCGUUUAGGUACACCUCAAUAUUAAAUGUUGUUAAACAUGGGAAGAGGUGAAACAUAAGUAAACUAACUAUUUAGGCAAGUUUAAAUGAGGUCGGAAACAACAAACAACAAUUCCAAAAAAUCCUCAUGUCCAUAUUUUGAAUUAGCUACUGUUCUGCCCUAAACCGUAUUUUAGAGUUGUUAAACAUGCAAAGUAAUGCCACCAUGUUAAACUAUGCUUUUUCCCACCCCGUUUACAUAUAAAGUUUAUUAAAAUUGGGGCUACGAUUAUUUAGUUAUGAAAUAAAUCAUUUUAACAUGGCAUUUAAGAAAAUUUAAACAAACAACAUUUUAAACAUUUCAAACAUGGAUGAAAAUAGCAUAUUAUGAAACUAGAUGCAAUUCUAAGCAUUUUCCAUGGUUAAACCAUUUUAAUCCGACGCACGGUUGAUGAGUUAUUAAAAGCAUGAACAACGAGUUUUUUUUGUAAAUAUGCAAUUUUUUGGAUAAUUAGACAAUCGCUCUGCGAAAAAAACAUGAAUCGGGCCGAAUCUGGAUGGCCCAACCUGAGGAGAAAAAAAUCAGAGGGGCGCCUCACCCAUGGGAUUCGGCCCAUUUGUUGAGAGGCUUGGCAGGCCGGCGGAUCUGGCGAAGAGGAGCUGGGCCUUGGCGCAAUCGAACUAGGAGGUGGAGUGGGCGCGGUUAACGCUCGAGGCAGAGGAGGGGUCAACGUGCGACAAUGCGUUUCCUCGUUCGAUGCAGGGGAAGCAGGGUGAUGCAAGGAACUUGGCGCGGCAGGGCUUGAAUGGAGACGAUGGCGCGGAUCCGGCGGGCACGGGCCGGAGCUAGCCGGAUCCAGCAGCGGGGCGAUGAAUGGGCGGCGGUCAUGGUCGUUCCCUGUAUGCGAGAGAGAGAGAUGUGUGAGAGAGGGAAGCAUAGGAAGGACGGGAGUGACAGGGGAGGAGAGGAGUGGGACGAGGCCGGUCCUUGCCAUGGUCGCCUGCGGCGAGGUCGCCGGAGGGCGCGGGGGAAGGCGACUACUUGGUGGCCAACAGGGUGCUCGAGCAGGACGAGUAGGCGAGCUCCUGCUCGUUGCAGAGGAAGCAGGUGGCGACGCUGGUUGGGGACGAGGAGUGUCGGUGUCAAAACUGGCGGAUCUCGGAUAGGGGGUGUCGGUGUCAAAACCGGCGGAUCUCGGGUAGGGGGUCCCGAACUGUGCGUCUAGGCGGAUGGUAACAGGAGACAAGGGACACGAUGUUUUACCCAGGUUCGGGCCCUCUUGAUGGAGGUAAAACCCUACGUCCUGCUCGAUUAAUAUUGAUGAUGUGUGUUACAAGAGUGGAUCUACCAUGAGAUCAAGGAGGCUAAACCCUAGAAGCUAGCCUAUGGUAUGAUUGUUGUUCGUCCUAUGGACUAAAGCCAUCCGGUUUAUAUAGACACCGGAGAGGGCUAGGGUUACAUAGAGUCGGUUACAAUGGUAGGAGAUCUACAUAUCCAUAUCGCCAAGCUUGCCUUCCACGCCAAGGAAAGUCCCAUCCGGACACGGGAUGAAGUCUUCAAUCUUGUAUCUUCAUAGUCUUGGAGUCCGGCCGAUCACGAUAGUUCGGCUAUCCGGACACCCCCUAGUCCGGAACUCCCUCAAUAGCCCCUGAACCAGGCUUCAAUGACGAUGAGUCCGGCGCGCAUGUUGUCUUCGGCAUUGCAAGGCGGGUUCUUCCUCCGAAUAAUUUAUAGAAGAUUGUGAACACCAGGAUAGUGUCCGGCUCUGCAAAAAUAAAUUCCACGUACCACCGUAGAGAGAAUAAUAUUACACAAGUUCAAUCUGCUGACGUAUUUUGUGGCGUGACAUCACACCAUUACCAAGCCUGUACUCGAAUCGUCUUUAUUGUAUCACCUCAGCGCAUUUAGCGAAGCGGUUUCCUUGGCACGUCUUGUCGAAGCAGAGAUCGUGUUCCCCUUAUUCCGGGAUUCCCAUCAAUACGGACGUGGGUAACCCAACUGCGCCAUUGAUUGUGACGCCUGGGAGAUAAGCGAGUUUUACCAGGUCGGUGGGGACACAUGUUUUUGUCCACCCAUAUAAGGGGAUAAAGAUCCAACCCUUUUACCUGCGCCUUCUUCCUCCUUGGCUUAUCCAUCUCCGCGAACUCGAGCUCCAGCGCCCAAGUCCGCUCUUCUCACCUCAAGCUUCUCCAACUAUGUCCGGAGCGGGAGGCAAGUGGAUGGCCUCCUCCGUCACGGAGGGGCAGAUCCAGAAGCUGCGCGACGCCGGAUAUUUGUCCAGCGACAUCGCGCACCGGCUCCCCGACGAGGGAGAGCUCAUUCCCACCCCCAGGCCCCAUGAGAGGGUAGUAUUUCUUCCCCAUUUCCUCCGCGGACUGGGCUUCCCACUUCAUCCCUUUGUCCAGGGGCUCAUGUUCUACUACGGCCUAGAUUUCCAUGAUCUGGUCCCGAAUUUUAUCCUCAACAUCUCGGUGUUUAUCGUCGUGUGCGAGGCCUUCCUCUACAUCCAGCCCCACUUCGGCUUGUGGCUCAAGACCUUCAGUGUCAAGCCAAAGGUUGUGAAGGGCAGCCAAGCGGAGUGCAGAGGCGCCAUGGUGGGCAGGAUGUCCCACGUUAUUUGGCUGGAGGGCACUUUCGUGGAAACCAUUAAGGGGUGGCAAUCAGGGUGGUUCUACAUCGCCGAGCCGCGUGACCCUGAUUGGGCAGCGGUCCCCGAAUUCAGAUCUGGCAUCCCUACACGGCUCACCUCCUGGAAAGAGAGUGGCCGGAUCUGGGGUGAUUCGGAGGAGCUGACCGGACUCCAAGCCUGCAUCCAAAAGCUGUUGGACAAGAAGCUCAAGCUUGUUAACGUAGUCCAGGUCAUGCUCAUCCACCGGAUUCUCCCGUGCCAACGACGGGGCUUCAACAUGUGGGAGUUCGAUCCAGCGCAGCACCAGACUCUGAGCGGGCUCUUCGACACUACGUACGAAGAUGUCUGGAAGGUGCUGUUCAAGGGCGCCGAGGCUCCCACAUCCGCUACCGAAGAUCGCGGAUUCCGCUCGCAGCGUCCAGCUGACGAGGUAAGUGAUUUUUCCACUUGUUUUCCAUAGUUUGACUCUAUGCGGGAUCUAAACUCCCUUUACCUUUGACAGGACUGGCUAGCGAAGGCCGAAUGGACUAUCUUUCCGGCCCCAUUGCCAGAGGACCCAGCGGACGCCCGCUUAAUGGGGCUGCUGGCUCCGGCACCCCAUGUGGUGCCGGAGAAGAAGGCCACGGGGACUCGGAAGAGUUCCCAUUUUCAGGUGCUAUCGUAUGAUGAAUCCGAGGCCGGCUCCUCCCACCAAGGCGAGGAGGAGAAGAAGAAAGCCUCUCCCCCAGCGGGGGGGGGGGGGGAAGAAAAGGAAGGCCUCCCCAACAAGGGAGGCUGAAGGGUCCAAGAAGGGAAAAACUCUUCCCCCGGACUGCUCUGCCAACGCCAGUGACGACGACGAGGACUGGCCUCCAAGGGCCAAGCCCCUGGCGAGAUCGUAAGUAUCCGGAAUCCCGAAUAACUUCAAGGAAGGCGAGUCCGCCCAAGGAUGAUCUUCCCGCUUCGUCGAGUGGGUCCUUAGGUGCGUCGGAUAUGGAUUCUCUUCCGACUGCCUCCAUCCCCGUGCCACGGACGAUGCCGAGGUGGGAUCCAAGGAAGGGACCCACCAGGAGGAGGAGGCCUCGGAGGUGUCACAGGACAACCUCCCGGACUUUGCACCGGACUCGGCCCCGGAACCCACAGUGGCUCCGGAGUCCGGCGAGCGACCCCUUCGCAAGAAGGGCAAGACCGUGACGUCGGCUGCCUCCGUCCAACCGGAGGCGCCGGAUAAUUUGCUGGAGGCGCUCAACGGCACCUCCAUUGAAGAGGAACACCGCACUGUUAUGAGUGCGGUGAUUCAAAAGGUUCAGCUCGCCAAAAGUGGGCUGACCGAAGCCUGCAGCAGCCUUCUAACAGGCUUUGAGGUAAGAAUAUCAAUAUGUAUAAAAUGGUACCGCAUAGACAGUAGCCCCUGAUGCUCGGUUUGGUGUUCGGAAAGAAAAGCCGGACUGAGGACCUAAAAAGAUAUACGCAGGAGUCAUAAUAAAUAUGUCAAUAUGGGAUUGCAGGCUGCGCUGCUGACCUCUGCCGCACUGACUGUGAAGGUCAAUACGUUGAAGGAAAGCCUCGAGCGGUCCGAGAACGAGCUCGGCCGUGCCAAGAAGCAGCUCGAGGACGAGGAAGGCGAGUAACACCUUACUAAAAUUGUACCUUACAGAAAAGGAUUUUGGUUGCAAAAAGAAUGACAAGGAUAACGUGGGUAUUGCAGGGGCCACUAACGAGGUGGCGACCCUGAAAGAGGCGGUGGCCGCGGCCGAACGCAAUGCGGCCGCGGAGCGCACCGAGCAAGAGAAGCAGGAGGCGCGGGUGGCGGAGGUACAACAAGAGCUCCAUGAUCUCGUGAAAAAACAUGAGAGCCUGGAGCGUGACUCGAAGACUCAAGAGUCUGAGCUUGCAACGGCUCUUGAGAGUGCCAAAGCCGCUAAGGCCGAAGCCUACAAGGCCCUCCAGGAGAUUGAGGCGGUGAAGAAAAUAGCAGCGCGUAAGGCAUUUUUCAUGCAAAGUAAGCAUGUGAGUGUUAAUUACCUGUUGCUUACCCGAAUUCGGAGCUCUCCAGGAGCGUUUGCAAAUCUUCCUUGCAGCGUGUCCGAUGCUGCCACGUUCUACCGGGCCGAGGAGGGGAGCUCGAUGGAGAAGGUCUUCUGGUCUCAGUAUGCUGAGGCCGGACAUCCGGUGCCCCUUAGCGACCAGCUGAAGCAGCUGGUCGAGCUCCACAAGGCGGCCGAACAGGCCAUGAAGGGCCUCAUAGUUCGGCUGUGGCCUAAGGAGGCCAUGCCUGGGAGCUACUUCGGCCUGGUGCGGCGUUUGGUGGAUGCGUGCUCGUGGGUUGAAGUCAUCAAGCACUCCGCUUGUAUUGAAGGUUCCCGUCGGGCCCUUGCCCACGCAAAGGUGCACUGGGGCAAGAUGGAUGCCCAGAAACUUGUGACGGACCCGCCACCAGAGGGCAAGGAGCAUCGCACGCCCGAGAUGUAUUAUAAGAGUGUGCUGAAGGGCGCCCGCACUAUUGCGGGUGAGUGCUCCAAAGAUGUAAUAUUUGAGUAGACUCGCAUUUUGUUAUCCUGUGCGCUGAAAACUUAGUUCAUAUGCGCUAAGCAACGCUUGUUAAUUUAAAAUAUUACCUUCUGUGUGGCUGUUUAUCAAAUCUGAGAGAUGGCAAGUCGUCGGCUUCAGCCCCCAUGCGACGAGUGCUGGGGUGUUCGGGAUAAACUUGAGCACUCUUGUUCCCAUUUUUGGGUCCAUCUAGGGAGGCGCUCAACACAGUGAACAAGGCAACUGGACUUAUAAUGCUUGAACACUCUCACUUAGCCAUAGAAUUCUAUAAUUUUAAAUUUCGGCGAAGCCCCUAGUCUUCGGAAGGCCGAAUUUGGGGCGCUAUCCACGCCUGGGCCGGACAAGAUCCGGCUCCUCGCUCUAAGCGGCAUAAGUCUUUAAGGACUCGCAAAAAACCUCUCGAACAGCGACCGGCUCUCGCCUGAUCAUGAGGGUCAGUUUUAGCUUUCUCCACUGAGGCGUUAACCCAGCUCAACUGGGCCGCAAUCGCAGUGGUUCUCCCAGUGCUACCUUAGCCGAUACAACGGAAUGUAAGGUACCAAAACAUGGGAGCCGGAUAGACCCAACUAUUGACCCAAGACAUGAUUCGAAGCCGAUGCAUAUAAUGCUAUAAGUUCGGGGUGCCGCACUUGUGAAAGUGUUCGGACUUAUCACACGAUGAUGCGGGAAACAUAAGCCCCUGGUGUGUUUUAACCGUACCAAAGUGUACGGAUGCGACAUGUCGUAAAUGAACAUAUGUAUAAAAAAGAAAUGCAAUUAUAAGCAAAAAGGUGCUGCAUUGUUUUAUUCAAGAAGUGCUGCUAUGAAUGCAGAACGAUACAAAUAGUGCGAUAAGCAAGGGACGGGACUGUUAAACAUGUCCCCCUCCAGGGGUAGGCUGCGGAGUGGUGUAUAAAAAAUGCUCGUAAUGGAGACCACCUGUAUAUUCGUUGUAGCCUUUAUCCUUCCCUGGCUGUUGCAUCGUGAGUUCGGCAGGUCUGCUGCCGGUCAGGGCCUCUGACGAACGGAGUCCUAUGGGUAAAAAAUAAAAGGAAGAAAGAAAAAAAAGAACGACACACUUGAGAGCCCCUGGUGUGGUUGAGACGCAGUCUGGGCUUAUCGUGGUCGUGCCCCUCUCCCCAUGCCCAUGGUAUCUUCAGGGCGUAAUGGUGUACGCGAAGGACCUAUUUUGAUGUUUUACAGGGGCUGGGGUUGGGGCCGCACUGCUACGCGUGCUCGUAUCGUGCCAGGUGGUCUUGUUGUAGGUUACUCCAGGCGCGCUUAGCUGUGUCCGGCCGCUUAACGGCCGGACUCGAGAAUUACCUUAAGAGGCUGCAUUGUACUUCUGCCGCGAGAGCCGCUGUAUGUUCCUCCGUUCGGAGAGAACGUUCAGUGUUUCCGUUGACCGUGAUGACUCCUCGAGGGCCUGGCAUCUUGAGCUUGAGGUAUGCAUAGUGCGGCACCGCAUUGAACUUUGCAAACGCGGUACGUCCGAGCAUGGCGUGAUAGCCGCUGCGAAACGGAACUAUGUCGAAGAUUAACUCCUAGCUCCGGAAGUUAUCCGGGGAUCCGAAGACCACUUCCAGUGUAACUGAGCCUGUACAAUUGGCUUAUACACCUGGUAUGACGCCUUUAAAGGUCGUCUUGGUAGGUUUAAUCCUUGAGGGGUCUAUGCCCAUUUUGCGCACUGUAUCCUGAUAAAGCAGGUUCAGGCUGCUGCCGCCGUCCAUCAGGACUCUGGUGAGGUGAAAUCCAUCGACGAUUGGGUCUAGGACCAAUGCGGCGAAUCCUCCGUGACGGAUGCUGGUGGGGUGGUCCCUUCGGUCAAAAGUGAUCGGGCAGGAGGACCAUGGAUUGAACUUCGGGGCAACUGGCUCCAUCGCGUAUACAUCCCUGAGUGCACGCUUCCGCUCACUUUUGGGUAUGUGCGUUGCGUAUAUCAUGUUCACCGUCCGCACCUAUGGGGGGAAACCCUUCUGUCCUCUGUUGCUCGGCGGUCGGGUCUCUUCCUCGUCAUCGCUAUGCAUCCCCUUGUCAUUGUUUUCGGCAAUUAACUUGCCCGCCUGCUUGAAUACCCAACAAUCCCUGUUGGUGUGGUUGGCUGGUUUUUCGGGGGUGCCGUCUAUCUGGAACGGGCGGUCGAGUAUUCGGUCCAAAUUGGACGGACCCAGAGUAGUUCUUUUGAAUGGCUUUUUCCGCUGACUGGGUUUAGAGCCUCUGAAUCCGGCAUUGAUUGCUGUAUCCUCACUAUUGUCACCGUUGAUGCAGCGCUUGUUUUUGUUACGACGCGACCUGCCAUUUCGGUCCUUGAAGUCUGGACUUCCAGAAUUUUUGCUGAGGUUGUUGCUGCGUGCUAGCCAGCUAUCCUCACCCGCGCAGAAGCGGGUCAUGAGUGAUGUGAGGGCUGCCAUGGAUUUCGGCUUUUCCUGUCCCAGGUGCCGGGCAAGCCACUCGUCGCGGAUGUUAUGCUUGAAGGCUGCGAGGGCCUCCGCAUCCGGACAGUCGAUGAUUUGUUUUUUCUUGGUUAAGAACCAUGUCCAGAAUUUUCUGGCCGAUUCGUCUGGUUGCUGAAUUAUGUGGCUUAGGUCAUCAGCGUCUGGUGGUCGCACAUACGUGCCUUGGAAGUUAUCGAGGAAUGCGGCUUCCAGGUCUUCCAACUCCCAAUUGACUCUGCUGGCAAGCUGUUAAGCCAAUGUCGGGCUGGUCCUUUAAGCUUGAGGGGGAGAUAUUUGAUGGCGUGAAGAUCGUCACCGCGGGCCAUGUGGAUGUGAAGAAGAUAGUCUUCGAUCCAAACCGCGGGGUCUGUUGUGCCAUCGUAAGAUUCGAUAUUCACGGGUUUAAACCCUUCGGGGAUUUGAUGAUCCAUUAUUUCAUCUAUGAAGCAUAGUGGGUGUGCGGCGCCUCUGUACUGGGCGAUAUCACGACGGAGCUCGAAAGAGCUUUGUCUGUUUUGUUCGGCCCGGGCGGACUUACUGUGUCCGGCACGACGGUUGUCGUCACGUACCGUGGGGCGUCCACACGAUCCAUAGAUCGAUCUUGAUUGUUUUGCCUUAUCCUCCAAUAUAUCUCGCAAGUCCGGAGCGUUCCCCUAUGGCCUUGUGCUUUUCGAGCGAUGCCGGGGUAUGGGUCUAGUGAAGGGCCUAGAGGCCUCUCUAUCGCGACCACGGGGUGGUCGGUCAACCAUAUUGUCUCCUGGUGAUGCGGGUUCAUAUGCUUCCUCCUCUAAUCGGGGGAGAAGCCUGCGUUUAGGGUAGCUUUGGGAGGGGCGUUCGAGCUCAUGCUCUUCGGCCGCGAGGACUUCAGUCCAUCUGUCGGCUAGCAGAUCUUGAUCAGCUCUAAGUUGUUGCUGCUUUUUCUUGAGGCUGUUCGUCGUGGCCAUAAGCCUGCGUUUAAAACACUCUUGUUCGACGGGAUUCUCAGGCAUGACGAAUUCAUCGUCGUCGAGGCUUGCCUCAUCUCUGGAGGGAGGCAUAUAAUCCUCUACCUCUUCUUCUGCCGCUCUCUCAUGAGGGCUGGUGUCUCCGUCCUCCUGCGAUGGAUUUUGCUGGAGUGGGUUGUCUUCGGCACUGUCCGGUGUAUUAUUAUCUCCGGUGCAAGAAUCUUCAUUCUUGCUGUGGCGGGAUUUAGAGCGGCGCCGCUGACGCUGGCGCUUGGGCUGUUUCUUGGAGGGGUCAUCCUCCGCUGUUCCUUCUCCAUCCUUUGGGAUAUCCACCAUGUAUAUGUCAUAUGAUGAGGUGGCUUUCCAGUGCCCGGUGGGCGCUGGUUCUUGUUCGUCUCCGGCAUCGUCGUCCAUACCGUCGAUGUCUUCGGAGUCGUAGUCUAGCAUGUCGGUUAGAUCGUCGACAAUGGCUACCAAGUGGGUGGUGGGUGGGCUUUGAAUUUCUUCGUCGUCUGCAUCCCAACCGUCCUGACCGCAGUCCGGCCAGGGCUCUCUUGAUAACGAGAGAUACUUUAGCGAACUCAAGAUGUCGCCGAAAGGUGAGUGUUGAAAGAUGUCCGCUGCGGUGAACUCCAUGAUCGGCGCCCAAUCAGAUUUGAUCGGAGGGGGCACGGGAGGUUCGGAGUCCGGCGAGGAGUCCAGCACCUCGGAGUCAUGAGCUUUAUGAGGGACAAGGUCAGUGUUCGGCUCUAUCACCGUAGAGGUUGCAUCCCCCGAGGCGGUGUCUAGCCAUCCGUCCUCGAUCUGCGCAGCCAGCUCCAAAUUGAAGAUCGGAGCGGGUUCGAGUGCGGCCUCCAGGGUACUGUCCGACUGCAGAGCUAAAUCAUGCUCGCCGUGACAGUGCGGCACGCUGGGCUGUGGCUCGAAUCCAUCGAGGAUCAAGUCCCCGCGGAUGUCAGCCGUGAAGUUCAAACUUCCAAAUCUGACCUGAUGGCCAGGGGCGUAGCUUUCGAUCUGCUCCACACGGCCAAGCGAAUUGGCCCGCAGUGCAAAGCCGCCGAAUACGAAGAUCUGUCCGGGGAGAAAGGUCUCACCCUGGACUGCGUCGUUGAUGAUGGUCGAAAAAGCCAUUGAGCCUAUCGGUGACGACACGUAGGAACUCUCAUUGAAAGCACCAAUGUCGGUGUCAAAACCGGCGGAUCUCGGGUAGGGGGUCCCGAACUGUGCGUCUAGGCGGAUGGUAACAGGAGACAAGGGACACGAUGUUUUACCCAGGUUCGGGCCCUCUUGAUGGAGGUAAAACCCUACGUCCUGCUCGAUUAAUAUUGAUGAUGUGUGUUACAAGAGUGGAUCUACCAUGAGAUCAAGGAGGCUAAACCCUAGAAGCUAGCCUAUGGUAUGAUUGUUGUUCGUCCUAUGGACUAAAGCCAUCCGGUUUAUAUAGACACCGGAGAGGGCUAGGGUUACACAGAGUCGGAUACAAUGGUAGGAGAUCUACAUAUCCGUAUCGCCAAGCUUGCCUUCCACGCCAAGGAAAGUCCCAUCCGGACACGGGACGAAGUCUUCAAUCUUGUAUCUUCAUAGUCUUGGAGUCCGGCCGAUCACGAUAGUUCAGCUAUCCGGACACCCCCUAGUCCGGAACUCCCUCAGGGGGUCUCAAACUGUGCGUCUAAGGCUAAUGGUAACAGGAGGCGGGGGACACAAUGUUUACCCUGGUUCGGGCCCUCUCGAUGGAGGUAAUACCCUACUUCCUGCUUGAUUGAUCUUGAUGAUAUGAGUAUUACAAGAGUUGAUCUACCGCGAGAUCAUAGAGGCUAAACCCUAGAAGCUAGCCUAUGGUUAUGAUUGUUCUUGUCCUAUAGACUAAACCCUCCGGUUUAUAUAGACACUGGAGGGGGCUAGGGUUACAUAGGGUCGGUUACAGAGAAAGGAAUCUUCUUAUCCAAAUCGCCAAGCUUGCCUUCUACGCAAAGGAGAGUCCCAUCCGGACACGGGAUGAAGUCUUCUAUCUUGUAUCUUCAUAGCCUAACAGUCCGGCACACGCAUAUAGUCCGACUGUUCAAGGACCCCUUAAUCCAGGACUCCCUAAGUAGCCCCUGAACCAGGCUUCAACGACGAUGUGUCCGGCAUGCAGAUUGUCUUCGGCAUUGCAAGGCGGGUUCCUUCUCUGAAUUCUUCAAAGUACCUGUUGUAAAAAGCAGUGUCCGGUUCCCCAUUUAAUGUUACGCUCAUCGGCUUCUGCACCUCAACGGUCUCAGCCUCCACGUGUCGAGCGAAUGCGAGAAGUCAGGGCAUUUUUACAUUUGCCACCCUAGCCAUGUAAAUAAAUUUUCUAUUAAAGAGACGGGGAUCUUCAGAUCUGAUCCACACCACCCCCCCAAAGCGAGGAAUCAUCAGAGCGCAUCCGAAAAAACCACUCCAACAUGGCCGGCGCUCGCAGCUCUUCCUCCCGCUCUCGUAACACCAAGCCAGGCGAUUGGGAGAAGUGUACUAUAUCACAUGGCUGAUUACUGAAGUUGCAGACCCAAGGGUACCUACCUCCCACAUACUUAGUCCCCGUUCGAGCCGGACUACCUUCCUUCGACGUUGGGGAGCAGGCGGAGAACUUUCAUAACCCAUCCAGGGGGAGCGAGUAUGCCUCAUUUCCUACUUGCUGCAAGGUGUCAGAUUUGUAAUCCAUCCGUUUCUCCGUGGGCUUCUGGAGUUCUACAGCCUCCAGCUGCACAACUUCACACCUGCCUCCAUCCUGCACAUCGCAGGUUAUGUCGCUCUUUGCAAGCUAUUCUUGGGCUGCGAAGCCCAUUUCGAGCUAUGGAAGAAGCUGUUUUGCCUCGUCCCCCGAAAUCAAGGGGGAUCAAUAUUUCAAGUGGGCGGAGCCGAGAUAUGGCGCUUCGCCGGUACCGGAUACUUGUCCGGCACACCGAAGAAGGCACCCUAAGAGUGACCCUCCAAGUAGUUUUAUAUUGAGGACGUCUCCCUUCCCGACACAAUCCGGAUGGGCCUUCCGGAGUUUACAAAUGCUCCGCUGAGAAAGCGCCUUAACUGGCGUCCCCGGAGCCCUAGAGAGGAAGAUAACAGGGAGGUCCUUCAAUUGAUGAGCAAGAUAAGAAUACUCGCUCAAUCCGGAUUAUCAAUAGUCGAGGUUAUGGCGAUAUCCAUAAUGCGGGGGGUUCAACCACUCCAAUACCGAGGGCAUCCCAUGUGGCACUUUAAUGGAGACGACAAUGCCACCCGCUGUGGCCGAAAAGGCCCAGACUCCACCACCGCUCUGGUGGAAAUACUGUCUGAUUUGUACAAGGGGGAAAGAGAGGAAUUCAUCCGUAUUAAGCCACGGGAUGGAUUUUCCAUGUACAACCCUCCAAGCUGGGUGAGUUGCCAUCCAUUACUCUACUCUAUUUAUUCCCUGAGCCUUUGUUUUCAUAAAUAUUUACUCCGUCUACCUGUAACAUGAAUGGCAAAAAAUAAUCAGGGAGUUCCAUAGCCCGCCUCCACAGCCAGAGGACCGCAACUGGGCCCUCGACCCCGGAUUCAAAGAGGAUCCAGAUAUAUUCGUGGAGCUCGUGGAAGGGGUGUUUCACCAGGCGAGCUGUGACGGCACAGAGGUGGCCAUCAUUGCUGACUAUCUCGGCCUCCUCCCUGUAUUGCGUGUAAGUAAACAAGAGACUUAUGUUCAGAAAAGAUUUAUUCCUUCCCUCUUACCCACCGUGCAAUUCUUAUGCUCUAAAGGGAAGACGAUCGGCGCUCCAAGCCGAACCCGAGGCGACUCGCCAACAAGGGGCGCCCAUGUCGGGUAAGUCUUUAAAAAGAAAGGCGAACAAAAAUAUAGCGGAGCCGUCUUCAAGGAGGUAUGGUUUCGAACAUGCUCCGCGGUUCGUCAUCUUAAAAUAUGACACUAUUUGUUGUGUGUUUAGCAGAAAGAACAUCCGCCGAACUAUGUCUGGGGGUCCUGCCAACCGUGCCUCCACUAGCCGGAUUCCAGACCCGGUCUUGAGGACGGAGGCCAACACGGGAGUGACACCGGACUGUCCUCAAACAGAGGAUUCAGACAAAAUGUCCGCCACAAAUUCUGAAGUGGAGAGCGCCAUGAAUCAUCGGUGCCGGCAAGCCGCACUCUGCGACCCUGGUUUUUCAGAUGAGUCUUUUAAUGCCUUCAACUCGGGUGAUGCAUACAUCUGAGCCGCUCAGGAUGGGCUUGCUAGAGCCAUGGACCAGUAUUUGAAAUAUAUACGGGUAAAUAUAAAAAUCUAAUAAUUAUGUAUAUCAGUAGCCCCUGAGACUUAAAGCAGUUGGUACAAGUGAUUUAAGGAUCCUUGUACAUGUUGUCUCAAGAGCUGGAAGAGUGUCAAAUCCAGCUAGCGGCCGCUAUGGCCAAGCUGUCAAGAUUCGAAGAGGCAUCAACUGGUAUGUAUUCCCGGAUUGAGAAAAAUCAAUAUUGUGUUGGUAAACCAGUAAUGCUGACAAUAUCUGAUGACCAAAAUCCUCAGAUAAUCCGGAACAGAAUCCGGGAACCCCACCAGAGGGUGAGCAAGAGGCCCUAAGGCGAGCAGCUUCUGGCGAGCGUGUACUUACACAGGUCAUACAGAAAAAUAACAAGCUCCAAGAUGCUAAUACCCAGCUAGGUGAAGAAUUAAAAGAUGUUCGGGCCCAGCUGGCUGACUCUGUGAAGGAAAACAAGAGGCUUCGGCACAACAUCUUUAGUAUGUUCUCCAACGAACAUUUACAUAGUUCGGUAAAGAUAGGAACUAACAGAAUUAUGUCUGUAGGUAUGCUGACAGGCCGUCCCGAAGAGGAGAUGCCCGGAUCUUCAGGCGAUCUGCUAUAAGAGCUUUCGCACCUGCACGAGCAAGUUCGGCAGGUCAUGCAGGGUGUCGCCAAGGCCUUAUGGCCAUCCGCCUCCCUACCAGGGAGUAUGGGGUAGCUUGCUCAGCUUUUCAAGGGAGCGCAAUGGCGUUUCCGAUUAUGGAAGAUAUCUGCCUGCCGAGAAGGGGUGAGAGAGGCUUGGGCCAUGGUGAAAACAAGGUAUACCAAGCUUGAUCCGAAUCAUAUGGCCCGUGUCGGACCUAUAGGGUCAGAUGGGAAAGAGAUUCCCGUUAGUCUGGUAUAUGACCAGGUAGGAUUAGCUGCAAAAUAUUCCCAACAGGAUUGUAGGCUAGACAACCUGUUGGAUGGCAUAGAAGAAGAAGCAUUUGAGUCUAAAUGACUAUGUACUUCAAUUGACAUAUUUGUCCCUAGCCGGAUUGUAAAACCUUUGUCAUGGUAGACCUUUUUGCUUCGGCCUCUGGACCUGACAAUCUGGAGUGUUUCCGAAUACCCGCUCGGUAAUAUAAACCGGGUUACGCAUGGAAACCAGGCGUAGGGGUCAUAAUUGCUUGAACAGACAAGUACCCAACUAGUUAUGUUAUAUUACAUGGUUAGUAAGAAACAUCUUUCAGAGAGAAUAGUUCUGUUAAGGGUUCCUUUCCCUGGGUAUGCAUGCAUUAAAGUGCAUGUCCGGACUGCGAUCAAAAAGCGCAGGAUGUGUAAUCUUCUGGGGUUUUGUAUUGUGAUAGGUAAAAAACAUCUUUAGUCCACCGACCAAAUAUUCCCUGAAGAACGCUAGCUUUCAGCUUCACCCAGUCUGAGGUACACGUCCGGAGUACCUGGUAGUAACAAUCGCAGAGGUGCUCCCUUUAUGCCCUAGCCAAACUAACGGGAACGUAAGGCAUAAGCACAGGAGCCAGGCAACCCAGCUUGGCCAAAACUUAAGUCAUAUCGGUGCAUAUAAUGGUGAAGAAAAGGUGCAUAUGGAGAAAGAUGCAUAUGCAGUGGGCUUGAUGCCCUGAAGAUAAUUAUAUUAAGCUUCUAUAUAAGAAGCUCCCAGGUAUAAUGAGCGCACAUACUUGAAAGUUAGUGCAUUACAAGUGUGUAGUCUAGUCACAAUAAAGCCUUUAGAGCUUUUCAAAAAAGGAAAGGUGAGAGGAGGGCUAACAAGAAAAUCAAAAGCAACAGAGGGAAGGAGACGAACUGGGAGUUCGGCGCUAGGCGUAGAAUCUUUGGAGUCUGGCUGCGUUCCAUGGGUUCGGCUCGAGGCGAUUAUCGGAUGCAUCCCGCAGUUGGUACGCUCCUCCGGUGAGAACUUUGUCAAUAAUGAAGGGACCCUCCCACUUGGGCUUGAGCUUGUCCUUUUUCUUCUCCGGUAGGCGUAGAACGUGUUCGCCAAUAUUAUAAGUCUUGGCCCGUACUUCUAUUCUUUGAUACCUGUGAGCCUGUCGUUGAUACAACGUGGAACGGGAUUUUGCAACAUUCCGCUCCUCUUCCAGGGCAUCUAAGCUGUCCUGCCGAUCGAGCUCGACCUCUCUCUCUUCGUACAUGUGCACUCGAGAUGAGUCAUGAAUAAUAUCGCAGGGCAGCACAACCUCUGCGCCGUACACCAUGAAGAAGGGUGUGUAUCCGGUAGUGCGAUUUGGCAUGGUCCCCAACCCCCAGAGUACGGAGUCGAGCUCCUCAACCCAGUGCAUGUCUGAUUCUAUUAAGGAUCGUACUAGUCUAGGUUUAAUUCCGCUCAUAAUAACACCAUUGGCUCGUUCGACUUGACCAUUUGUUUGAGGGUGAUAGACGGAGGUGUAAUCGAGCUUAAUGCCCAUCUUGCCGCACCAAGUUUUCACCUCAUCGGCCGUGAAAUUGGAUCCGUUGUCGGUGAUGAUGCUGUGGGGGACACCAUAACGGUGUAUUACACCCGAUAUGAAGUCUAUCACGGGUCCGGAUUCGGCCAUUUUGACUGGCUUGGCUUCUAUCGAUUUGGUGAAUUUAUCCACCAUGACCAACAAGUAUUUUUUCUUAUGGCUUCCUCCUUUAAGGGGUCCAACCAUAUCAAGCCCCCAGACCGCGAAAGGCCAAGUUAUGGGGAUUGUUUGUAGGGCGGUGGGUGGCAUAUGGCUUUGGUUGGCGAAAAGCUGGCAUCCGACACAAUGUUGGACAAGGUCUUGUGCGUCUGCCCGGGCCGUCGGCCAAUAAAAACCUGUACGAAAGGCCUUGCUUACAAGGGCCCGAGCUGCAGCGUGGUGACCGCUGAGGCCGGCAUGAAUUUCAGCCAAGAGCUGCCUCCCUUCUUGCUCAGAGAUACAUCUUUGAAGUACUCCGGUAGCGCUUUUAUUAUAAAGCUCUCCCUCAUGGACCUUGUAGGCUUUAGAGCGCCGCACAAUGCAGCGUGCCUCAUUUUGGUCCUCAGGGAGUUCGUGCCUAUUAAGGUAGGCCAAAAAGGGUUCAGUCCAUGGGGCAAUAACAGCCAUGAUGAGAUGGGCUGAAGGUGUUAUUUCGGUGGCAGAGCCCUCGAUUAUGUCCGUGUGUUUGGAAUCUGGGGUUGUGGUCGGAUCCGGCGUGAUGUUGCCGGUCUCCCCUUCCCAUACUACGAAUGGCUUGAAAAGCCUUUCCAAGAAGAUGUUAGGUGGGACAGGGUCGCGUUUAGCGCCAAUUCGGGCGAGGACAUCUGCCGCUUGAUUGUUUUCUCAAACCACGUGAUGAAAUUCGAGCCCCUCGAACCGAGCUGACAUCUUUAGGACGACAUUACGAUAUGCCACCAUUUUUGGAUCUUUGGCAUCAAAGUCUCCAUUUAUUUGAGAUAUUGCAAGGUUUGAAUCCCCACGUACUUCUAGGCGCUGGAUGCCCAUGGAGACAGCCAUCCGAAGACCAUGCAACGGAGCCUCGUAUUCGGCUGCAUUGUUGGAGUCUGUGUAUAAUAUUUGGAGUACGUAUUGGACUGUAUCUCCCAUGGGGGAUGUUAAGACAACAUCUGCCCCGAGACCUGCCAGCAUUUUAGAGCCGUCGAAAUGCAUGAUCCAGUUGGAGUAUGCGCCAUACUCUUUAGGGAGUUUGGCCUCUGUCCAUUCAGCGACGAAAUCCGCCAAUACCUCGGAUUUAAUGGCUCGCCAUGGUUUAUAUGUUAUGUCGAAUGGGAGGAGCUCGAUGGCCCACUUGGCAAUCCGGCCCGUGGCAUCACGGUUGUUUAUUAUGUAAUUAAGUGGUACUUCGGAGGCCAUCGUGAUUGAACACUCUUGAAAGUAGUGUCAUAAUUUCCGGGAUGCCAUGAAGACUGCGUAUGCUAUUUUUUGAUAAUGUGGGUACCGGGAUUUGCAUGGUGUGAGGACAGUGGACACGUAGUAUACUGGCUUCUGAACCGGGAAUUUGUGUUCGUCCUCCUCUCAUUCGACGACGAGCAUUGCGCUCACAACUUGGUGUGUUGCAGCUAUGUAUAACAACAUGGGUUCGCCAGCGUUCAGUGCAUCCAGGAUUGUAUUGCUUGCUAGAAGAGCCUUUAUUUCCUCUAGUCCGUCCGUCGCCGCGUCCGUCCAUCCGAAGUGUUCGGUACGCCCAAGGAGGCGAUAAAGUGGCAAUGCCUUUUCUCCUAAUCUGGAGAUAAAGCGGCUUAGAGCUGCUACGCAUCGCGCUAGCUUCUGGAUUUGUUUGAGAUCUGUUGGGAUAUCCAACUGUGACAAAGCCCGGAUUUUAGCUGGGUUUGCUUCAAUUCCUCUAUUGGAAACGAUGAAGCCCAACAGCUUUCCGGGGGGAACGCCGAAAACACAUUUUUCCAGAUUAAGCUUAAUGUCAUAUGUUUGGAGGUUAUUGAACGUGAGCCUUAGAUCGUCUAUUAAUGAUUCGGCGUGUCUGGUCUUGAUGACUACAUCGUCGACGUAUGCUUCAACUGUUUUGCUGAUUUGUUUCUCUAGGCAUGUUUGAAUCAUGCGUUGGUAGGUGGCACCAGCGUUUUUGAGCCCGAAAGGCAUAGUGUUGAAGCAGAAGGGACCAUAUGGGGUUAUAAAUGCCGUUGCGGCUUGAUCAGACUCCGCCAUUUUGAUUUGAUGGUAUCCGGAGUAUGCGUCGAGGAAACACAGUGAGUCGUGUCCCGCGGUAGCAUCGAUAAUCUGAUCGAUGCGUGGGAGAGGGAAGGGAUCCUUAGGGAAGGCCUUGUUGAGGUCUUUGAAAUCGACGCAUAGGCACCAGGAUUUAUCCUUCUUUGGUACCAUCACCAAGUUUGCUAGCCAAUACGGGUGUUUUAUUUCUCUGAUGAAUCUAGCCUUGAGUAACUUGGCUAGUUCCUCUCCCAUGGCUGGUCGUUUGGGUUCUGAAAAGUGCCAUAGUGUUUGCUUGACUGGCUUGUAUCCCUUCAGUAUGUUAAGGUUGUAUUCGGCCAGCCUGCAUGGGAUCCCCAGCAUAUCGGAAGGGUGCCAGGCGAAAAUAUCCCAAUUCUCGUGUAGAAAUGCUUGCAGUGCGGCGUCAAUUGAGGGGUCCAGCUGCGCCCCGAUGGAUGCUGUCUUCGAGGAGUCCGUUGGGUGGAGUUGGAAUUUGACUACUUCGUCCGCUGGUUUGAAGGAGGUGGACUUGGAUCGCUUAUCGAGUAUCACGUCGUCCCUAUCCAUUGUAGAGCGUAAUGCAGUUAAUUCUUCAGCCGCGAGGGCUUCAGACAAUGCUUUGAGGGCCAAGGCGGCUGUUUUAUUUUCAGCGUGGAGUGCUGUGUCCGGAUCACUAGCAAGGGUGAUGAUUCCAUUGGGCCCGGGCAUUUUGAGCUUCAUGUACCCGUAAUGGGGUAUAGCUUGGAAGCUCGCAAACGCAUCCCGCCCUAACAAGGCAUGAUAUCCACUCGUGAAAGGGGACACCUGGAAGGUUAUUUCUUCAGGCCGAUAAUUCUAUGGCGUGCCGAAUACCACAUCGAAUGUGAUUUUUCCCGCACAUCGUGCCUCCCGGCUGGGAAUAAUUCCUCUGAAGGUUGUGCUGCUUUGUUUAGUGUGGCUCCUGUCUAUUUCCAUUUUAUUGAGAGUUUCCUCGUAAAUGAGGUUUAGUCCGCUACCGCCGUCCAUGAGCACUUUGGUAAGCCGGAAGCCGUCCACAAUUGGACUGAGGACUAAGGCGGCUGGUGCCCGGACUAUCUUGAAUUGCGGUUCGUCACUGGCACUGAAAGUUAUGGCCUUGUCGUUCUAGGGGUUUAUUGCUCCGACUUGGCAGACUUUGGUGAGGAAUCGUAGUGCUCUCUAGCGCCUAUUACCUGAGGAAAAAGUCUCGAAGACUAUCAAUACUGUAGCAUUGUGUUAUGUGGGAUGUUGAUCUAUGAUGUUUUUUAUGAGGAGAUCCUCGCCGCUCUUGGCCACCUGCCGAAGUAUCCAACAUGCUCUAAUGCUGUGUGUUGGUAUAGUAUCCGGUGUGGUGUGUAUUUUGCAUGGCCUAUCGAGCCAUCCCUCCAAAGCGGUUGCGCGCCCCGAAUUGGGCUUCGAUUUCUUCGUGAUUGGAUCGGGCGACCUACGAGGGUACACCCUUUUUGCUUGGACGAGGGGUUUAGUGAGAGCCGGUGGAUCCCAAAAGGCUGCCUGAGUUUUCCAGGCGCUUUCCAUCACGUAGUACUUAUGUACUAUGAUCACCAAAUCAUCGAAGCGUGAUAUGUGACGGCGAUUUGUGGUGUUCAGGAGUCCCUUGUCUGUGCAAUUUUUGCAGAAUAAUGAGAUUGCAUCUUCAUCGCAACAGUCCUUGACCUUGUCCUUGAUGAUGAGGAAUCUGGCCCAAAAGUGAUGUACAGUCUCUUGGGACUGUUGUCUGAUGUGGGAAAGAUCGCUUGAGUCUGGGCGGGUGGGUGGAUUUAAGUCCGGACCCAGAUCUGAUUCGUGACCCAGAGCUUGAGGAGUUUCCAAAGUUAAUAGUCCGGACUCCGAGAUGUAAACAAAUUUUUCUGGCCCACAGUCCGAUUCUAAGUUCGGAGUUCGGGGCGUUUCUUCCCGCAGACAUGUAUCCGGCUUGAUGAGCUCGGAAAUCUAGACACACUUCGUCCUCAAUAUGGGGGAAGAGUUGUUGGGUUGCUCCUCCACCACCGCUAUCUGGUGGGUGAUCGGCGGAGAUUCAAUCUCUCUCUGAUCGGGUUUAAGCCCAAUCUGCUCGUAGUCCAAAGACACUCCCAGAGCGGCGAUGUGAUCCAGGAGCCCGUUUAAGGAUGAUAACUCCGUUGGAUCCAUCUGCUCGGCGUAUUCUGAGCUAACACGGAGGCGAUUUUUGAUGACUUGAGAAGUCAUGGUUGGCGCGACGGCCGAAUGGGCGGUCAAGAGGAAGCCGCCCAGCCGGAGAGUUUGUCCUGAGGCCAGAGCUCCCCCGGAGGUGAUGUUGUCCUUGAUAACAAGGCGAGCCAUCAACCCUAUCUUCGACGUCACAGUGGAACUCUCAAUGAAAGCACCAAUGUCGGUGUCAAAAUCGGCGGAUCUCGGGUAGGAGGUCCUGAACUGUGCGUCUAAGGCUAAUGGUAACAGGAGGUGGGGGACACAAUGUUUACCCAGGUUCGGGCCCUCUUGAUGGAGGUAACACCCUACUUCCUGCUUGAUUGAUCUUGAUGAUAUGAGUAUUACAAGAGUUGAUCUACCACGAGAUCGUAGAGGCUAAACCCUAGAAGCUAGCCUAUGGUUAUGAUUGUUCUUGUCCUACGGAUUAAACCCUCUAGUUUAUAUAGAUACCGGAGGGGGCUAGGGUUACACGGGGUCGGUUAUAGAGAAAGGAAUCUUCUUAUCCGAAUUGCCAAGCUUGCCUUCCACGCAAAGGAGAGUCCCAUCCGGACAUGGGACGAAGUCUUCUAUCUUGUAUCUUGAUAGCCUAACAGUCCAGCACACGCAUAUAGUUCGGCUGUCCGAGGACCCCUUAAUUCAGGACUCCCUCAAGGAGGCCCUUGAGGCAGGGGCGCAUGGGACUCAGGCAGCCGGCGACUUGACUCUCGUGACGCGAGGCCGCCACGUGAGGGAGCUCGGGAGUGCGGGGACGAGGUGGCUCUGGACGGUGAUGAGGCGGGGCUAGAGCUGCUCUGGUUGGUGGGUGGCUGAAGACGAGAUGGCCGCGGGCACCGGUUAGCUCGAUGGGGAAUUCAAAGGAGAGGAGGUGGUGGUUGGCUGGAUCGUUUGGAUGGAUUGGGCAAGACCCGAGGAAGGGGGAGACCAGGUGGGUGGAUCGUGAGGGAUCCUGAGGGAGAUGGUCAGUGGGUGGCGACGGCGUGGAGGAUUUGAUGGAUGGGACAACUAGGGCUAGGGUUAGACUGCUUAUAUAGUAGGUAGGUAAAAGGAGGGAAGAUUUGGAUCAUUGGAUCGGGAUCGGGCAGACAAAAAAUAUGGCUAGGGAAGUCCAACUAAGAAAAUGGAGAUGUUCUAUAGAUGUUUGGGGAUGAUCCGAAUCCAACGGUGAUGACUGAGUGGGUCAGGUUUGGGGCAGUUUUGGACGCGCUCGAGAGGAGAUCUGAGGGAGGUCGAAAAAGACAAAGGGUCCCUACAAAGGUCUACAAAGACAAGGAAGAACGGUAACUGUGAACGGAUGCAAGCUUUAUGAAAACAUGCAAAUGCAAUGCGCAUGAUGCUAUGAGAUAAGAUGCAUGACAUGAACAAAAUGCAAAACGGAAGACAAAAACCCAACCACGGAGAAAAUAAUAUAUCACAUAGCCGGAAAUGGCAAGAGUUGGAGUUACAAAUAUGGAAAGUUACAUCCGGGGUGUUACAGGGCGCCCCUAUGAGACACAACAAUUGCUCUUAACCGUGUGCGGCGCCCUCCUCCACAGUUUACGCCUCCGGCCAUAUUCUCGCUGUUCUUAGGCGAAGCCCUGCGCGGAUCACAUCACCAUCACCGUCACCAUGCCGUCGUGCUGAUGGAACUCAUCUACUCCCUCGACGCUGUGCUGGAUCAAGAGCUUGAGGGACGACAUCAUGUUGAACGUGUGCAGAACUCGGAGGUGCCGUACCACUACUAGGGAAAACCUUAUACACAGCAUCUUAGCAGUACCGCUGGACAAAAUAUGGCGCUACUGCUACUUAGUAGUAGCGUGUUUAAAUAGACCGCGCUGCUGCUACUACUUUAGAAGUAGUGCGUUCUGCUAAAGCGCACUGUUGCUAUAUUUGUACUAGGCGCAGAUGGCUAGCCCCACUUAACAGUAGCGCGUAUGCGUGACCAGCACUACUGCUAUGUCCCGUAGCAGUAGCGUGUAUCUCUGAAACGCGCUACUACUUGCUUCCCUUAUCCUGGAACAGUUCACUCUCUCACUCACUCUCCCUCUCACUCGCUCUCGCCCGCGCCGAACCCGUCAUCCGACGCCGCUGCGCUGCUCCUCGCCGAGGUAUUCCCUCCUCCCCUCCCUCCUCCCCACUCCUCCUCUGGCCUCCCUCCUCCCACCGCCCCUUCCUCCUCCUCCUCUGGCCACCCCUCCCUCCUCCUCCUUCGNNNNNNNNNNNNNNNNNNNNNNNNNNNNNNNNNNNNNNNNNNNNNNNNNNNNNNNNNNNNNNNNNNNNNNNNNNNNNNNNNNNNNNNNNNNNNNNNNNNNNNNNNNNNNNNNNNNNNNNNNNNNNNNNNNNNNNNNNNNNNNNNNNNNNNNNNNNNNNNNNNNNNNNNNNNNNNNNNNNNNNNNNNNNNNNNNNNNNNNNNNNNNNNNNNNNNNNNNNNNNNNNNNNNNNNNNNNNNNNNNNNNNNNNNNNNNNNNNNNNNNNNNNNNNNNNNNNNNNNNNNNNNNNNNNNNNNNNNNNNNNNNNNNNNNNNNNNNNNNNNNNNNNNNNNNNNNNNNNNNNNNNNNNNNNNNNNNNNNNNNNNNNNNNNNNNNNNNNNNNNNNNNNNNNNNNNNNNNNNNNNNNNNNNNNNNNNNNNNNNNNNNNNNNNNNNNNNNNNNNCCUAUGCCUCUGAGGGAGUCCCGGAUUAGGGGGUGUCCGGAUGGCCGGACUAUGACCUUUGGCCGGACUCUCGGACUAUGAAGAUACAAGAUUGAAGACUUCGUCCCGUGUCCGGAUGGGACUUUCCUUGGCGUGGAAGGCAAGCUUGGCGAUACGGAUAUGUAGAUCUCCUCCCAUUGUACCCGACUCUGUGUAACCCUAACCCUCUCUCGUGCCUAUAUAAACCGGAGGGUUUUAGUCCGUAGGACAAACAACAAUCAUACCAUAGGCUAGCUUCUAGGGUUUAGCCUCUCUGAUCUCGUGGUAGAUCUACUCUUGUACUACCCAUAUCAUCAAUAUUAAUCAAGCAGGAGUAGGGUUUUACCUCCAUCGAGAGGGCCUGAACCUGGGUAAAAACAUCGUGUCCCUUGUCUCCUGUUACCAUCCGCCUAGACGCACAGUUCGGGACCCCCUACCCGAGAUCCGCCGGUUUUAACACCGACAUUGGUGCUUUCAUUGAGAGUUCCUCUAUGUCGUCACCUUUAGGCCCGAUGGCUUCUUCGAUCAUCAACCACGACGCGGUCUAGGGUGAGACUUUUCUCCCCGGACAGAUCUUUGUAUUCAGCGGCUUUGCAUUGCGGGCCAAUUCACUUGGCCAUCUGGAGUAGAACGAAAGCUACGCCCCUGGCCAUCAGGUCAGAUUUGGAAGUUUAAACUACACGACUGAAAUCCGCGGAGACUUGAUCUUCAACGAAUUCGAGCCACAGCCGAGCGCGCCGCACUGUCACGAUGGGCAUGAUCUAGCUCUGCCGCCGGACAGUGCCCAUAGCGUCGCUCAGGUGUCCACUUCGACCCUUAGCUCGGAGCCGACUGCGCCGGUCGAGGACGCGUGGAUAAACACCGCCUCGGGGGAUGCAAUCUCUACAGCGAUCGAGCCGAACACCAAUCUUGUCCUUCGCGGAGCUCGUGACUCCAAGGUGCCGGACUCCUUUCCGGACUCUGAAUAUUCCGCACCCCUCCCGAUCGAACCCAAUUGGGCUCCGAUCAUGGAGUUCACCGCCGUGGACAUCUUUCAACACUCGCCCUUUGGCGACAUCCUGAAUUCACUAAAGUCUCUCUCUUUAUCAGGAGAGCCCUGGCCGGACUAUGGUCAGCAAGGUUGGGAUGUGGACGACGAAGAAAUUCGAAACCCACCCACAACCCACUUUGUAGCCACUGUCGACGAUUUAACCGACAUGCUCGACUUAGACUCCGAAGACAUCGACGGUAUGGACGCCGAUGAAGGAGACGACCAUGAACCAGCGCCUAUAAGGCACUAGAAAGCCACCUCGUCAUACGACAUAUACAUGGUGGACACCCCAAAAGAAGGGGAUGGCGAUGGAACAACGGAGGAUGACCCCUCCAAGAAACAGCCUAAGCGCCGGCGUCAGCGGCGCCGCUCUAAAUCCCGCCAAAGCAAAAACAGCGAGUCCGGCACCGGAGACAAUAACACCCCGGACAGUGCCGAAGACAACCCCCUCCAGCAGGAUUCAGCGCAAGAGGAUGGAGAAGCCAACCCUCAUGAGAGAGCGGCAGACAAAGAGGUCGAGGACGAUAAUUACAUGCCUCCCUCCGAAGACGAAGCAAGCCUCGACGACGACGAAUUUGUCGUGCGUGAGGACCCCGUCGAACAAGAGCAUUUCAAACGCAGGCUCAUGGCCACGACAAGCAGCCUCAAGAGAAAACAUCAGCAACUUAGAGCUGACCAAGACUUGCUAUCCGACAGAUGGACGGAAGUCCUCGCUGCCGAAGAGUACAAACUCGAACGCCCCUCCAAGAGCUACCCAAAGCGCAGACUGCUACCCCAACUAGAGGAGGAAGCAACUAAACCUACAUUACCAGCGUAUGAUGCGGCCGAUCGGCCACCCCAUGGCCUCGACAGAGAGGCCUUUCGGCCCUCAACUCAAGCCGCACCCCGGCGCCGCUCAAAAAGUACCAAGGCAUGGGGAAACGCGCCAGACCUACGAGACAUAUUGGAGGACAAGGCAAGGCAAACAAGAUCGAUCUACGGAUCGCGUGGGCGCCCCACGACAUGUGACGAUAACCAUCACGUCGGAUAUGGCAAAUAUGGCCAGGCCGAACACAAUAGACAAAGCUCAUCCGAGCUACGUCGUGAUAUAGCCCAGUACAGAGGCGCCGCACACCCACUAUGCUUCACAGAUGAAGUAAUGGAUCAUCAAAUCCCCGAGGGUUUUAAACCUGUAAACAUCGAAUCGUACGAUGGCACAACAGAUCCUGCGGUAUGGAUCGAGGAUUAUCUCCUUCAUAUCCACAUGGCCCGUGGUGAUGAUCUACACGCUAUCAAAUACCUCCCACUCAAGCUUAAAGGACCGGCUCGGCAUUGGCUUAACAGCUUGCCAGCAGAGUCAAUUGGUUGUUGGGAGGACCUGGAAUCCACAUUCCUUGACAAUUUCUAGGGCACCUAUGUGCGACCACCAGACACCGAUGACUUAAGCCACAUAACUCAGCAGCCAGAGGAAUCGGCCAGACAAUUCUGGACACGGUUCCUAACCAAGAAAAAAUAAAUAGUUGACUACCCGGACGCAGAGGCCCUCGCAGCCUUCAAGCAUAACAUCCGAGACGAAUGGCUUGCCCGACACCUAGGACAGGAAAAGCCGAAAUCCAUGGCAGCCCUCAUGACACUCAUGACCCGCUUUUGCGCGGGAGAAGACAACUGGCUAGCUCGUAGCAAUAACAUGACCAAGAGCCCUGGUAAUUUGGAUACCAAGGAAAACAAUGGCAGGUCGCGUCGCAACAAGCACAAACGCUGGAUUAACAACGACAACACUGAGGAUAUGGUAGUUAAUGCCGGAUUCAGAGGCUCUAAACCCGGUCAGCGAAAAAAGCCAUUCAAAAGAAAUACUCCGGGCCCGUCAAGUUUAGACCGGAUACUCGAUCGCUCGUGCCAGAUACAUGGCACCCUCGAACAACCAGACAAUCACACCAACAGGGAUUGUUGGGUGUUCAAGCAGGCAGGCAAGUUAAGUGCCGAAAACAGAGACAAGGGGCUACAUAGCGAUGACGAGGAGGAGCCCCGACCGCCGAACAACAGAGGACAGAAGGGCUUUCCCCCACAAGUGCGGACGGUGAACAUGAUAUACGCAACCCACAUCCCCAAAAGGGAACGGAAGCGUGCGCUUAGGGACGUAUAUGUGUUGGAUCCAGUCGCCCCAAAGUUCAACCCAUGGUCCUCCUGCCCGAUCACUUUUGAUAGAAGGGACCACCCCACUAGCAUUCGUCACGGCGGAUUCGCCGCAUUGGUCCUAGACCCAAUCAUUGACGGAUUUCACCUCACUAGAGUCCUCAUGGACGGCGGCAGCAGCCUGAACCUGCUUUAUCAGGAUACAGUGCGGAAAAUGGGCAUAGAUCCCUCAAGGAUUAAACCCACAAAGACGACCUUUAAAGGCGUCAUACCAGGUGUAGAGGCCAGCUGUACAGGCUCAAUUACACUCGAAGUGGUCUUCGGAUCCCCGGAUAAUUUCCGAAGCGAGGAGUUAAUCUUCGACAUAGUCCCGUUCCGCAGCAGCUAUCACGCCCUGCUCGGACGAACCGCAUUUGCAAAGUUCAAUGCGGUGCCGCACUACGCAUAUCUCAAGCUCAAGAUGCCAGGCCCUCGUGGAGUCAUUACGGUCAAUGGAAACACCGAACGCUCUCUCCGAACAGAGGAGCACACAGCGGCCCUUGCGGCGGAAGUACAAAGUAGCCUAUCAAGGCAAUUCCCCAGUCCGUCUGUUAAGCGUCCGGACACCGUCAAGCAUGCCUGGAGUAGCCUACAACAAGACUGUCUGGCACGUUCCGAGCUAGCAUAGCAGUGCGGCCCCAACCCCAGCCCUCGCGAGAUUGCGAAACCAGUACCACGCGUACAUAAUUAUGCUCUGGAAAUACCGUGGGCAUAAGGGGAGGAGCACAACCACGGCAUGCCCAGAAUGCGGCUCAACCGCACUAGGGGCUCCCAAUUUUUGCGAUUUUUCUUUUUUUACUUUCAGGACUCCACUAUUCAGAAGACCUGUCCGGCAAUACAAUCGCCGGACACACGAUGCAACAGCCAGGGAGACAACAAGCCACGUCGAACGUCCAGGUGGUCUCUAUAACGAGCUAAAUACGUGUCUUACUUAAAGUCUCACAGCUUGCCCCUGGAGGGGGACAUGUCAAAUAAUCCCAUCUCUUGCCUAUCGCACUAUUUGUAUCGUUCUGCUUUCAUAGCAACCCUCUAAUAAACAAUACAUAGCUCUUGUCUAUUAUUGCAUUCAUUUUUUAUGUACAUAUGUUCAACUAUGACAUUAUGCAACCGUACACUUUGGUACAGCUAAUACACCAGGGGCUUAAGUUCUCCAAAAUACGGUGUGAGAAGACCGAACACUCUCAUGAGUGUGGCACCCUGAACUUAUAGCAUUAUAUGCAUCGGCUCCGAAUCAUGUCUUGGGUCAAUAGUUGGAUUUGCCCGGCUCCCAUGUUUUGGUACCUUACGUUCCGCUAUACCGGCUAAGGUAGCGCUGGGAGAACUACUGCGAUUGUGCCCCAGUUGAGCUGGGUUAACACCUCAGUAGAGAAAGCUAAAACUGACCGUCAUGAUAGGGCGAGAGCCGGUCACUAUUCGUGAGGUUUUUCGAGUCCUUAAAAACUUAUGCCGCUUAGAGCGAGGAGCUGGCUUUGUCUGGCCUAGGCGUGGAUAGCGCCCCGAACUCGGUCUUCCGAAUACUAAGGGCUUCGCCGAAAUUUAAAAUUAUAGAAUUCUAUGGCUAAGUGAGAGUGAUAAAGCAUUAUAAGUCCUAUUGCCUUGUUCAUUGUGCUGAGCGCCUCCCUCGACGGACCCAAGAAUGGGAACAAGAGCGCUUAGAUUUAUCCCGAACACCCCAGCACUCGUGGCACGGGGGUAGAAGCCGACGACUUGCAUCUCUCAGAUUUAAUAGACAGCCGCACAGAAGGUAAUAUUUUAAAUUCAAAAAGUGUUGCUUAGCGCAUAUGAACAAGUUUUCAGCGCACAGGAUAAACACGAGCGAGUUUAUUUAAAAAUCACAUCCCUGGUACAUUCAUUCGCCACAAGGCGGGCACCCUUCAGGACGCCCUCAUAAUACGUCUCGAGCCUGCGAUGCUCCUUCCCCUCCGGUGGCCCUUCUGUCACCAGCUUCUCAGCAUCUAGCUUGCCCCAGUGCACUUUAGCACGGGUAAAAGCCCUACGGGCGCCUUCGAUGCAUACGGAGCGCUUGAUGAUUUCAAGCCGCGGACAGGCAUCCACCAGCCGCCUCACCAGCCCGAAGUAGCUCUCAGGCAGGACCUCCCCAGGCCACAGCCGGCCUAUAAGGCCCUUCAUGGCCUGUUCGGCCACCUUAUGGAGCUUGACCAGCUGCUUCAGCUGGUCGCUCAAGGGCACCAGGCGUUCGGCCCCAGCAUACUAGGACCAGAACACCUUCUUCGUCGAGCUCCCUUCUUCAGCUCGGUAGAAUGCGGCGGCGUCGGACACACUGCAGGGCAGAUCUACGAAUGCUCCUGGAGAGCUCCUGAUUCGGGUAAGUAACACGUAAUUCACUUUCACAUGCUUGCUUUUCAUAAAGAAUGCCUUACCCGCCGCUAUCUUUUUCAUUGCCUCAAUCUCUUGGAGGGCUUUUUGGGCUUCGGCCUUGGCAGACUUGGCGCUUUCAAGUGCCGAGGCAAGCUCGGACUCUCGCGUCUUUCAGUCAAGCUCUAGACUAUCGUGUUUCUUCACGAGAGCAUCGAGCUCUUGCCGCACCUCCGCCACCCGCGCCUCUUGUUUCUCUCGCUCGGUGCGCUCCAUGGCCGCAUUGUCUUCGGCCUUGGACAACGCUUCCUUCAGGGUCGCCACCUCGGUUGUGGCCCCUGUAACAUUCACGUUGGUCCUGUCAUUAUUUGCAACCAGGUAUUUUUAUAUAUAUUUACAUAAGGCACUACCUACCUUCCUUGUCCUCGAGCUGCUUCUUGGCAAGGCCGAGCUCAUUCUCGGACCGCUCGAGGCUCUGCUUCAAUGCAUCGACCUCCGCAGUCAGUGCGGUAGAGGUAAGCAACGCAACCUGCAUUCCCAUAUUGACAUAUUUUUGUUAGACUCCUGCGUAUAUCUUUUUAGAUCCUCAGUCCGGCUUUUCUUUCCGAACACCAAAUUGAGCAUCAGGGGCUACUGUCUAUGCGGUAACAUUUUUACAUGUUUUAAAAUACAUACCUCAAAGCCUGUUAGAAGGCUGGCAUAGGCUUUUGUCAGCCCGCUCUUGGCGGACUGAACCUUCUCGAUCACCGCACUCAUAACAGUGCGGUGCUCCUCGUUGAUGGAGGCGCCGUUCAGCACCUCCAGCAAAUUGUCCAGCGCCUCCGAUUGGACGGAGGCCACCGAUGUCGUAGGCUUGCCCUUCUUGCGAAGGGGCCGCCUGCCGGACUCCGGAACCACUGAAGGUUCCGGUGCGGUGUCCGGCCCAGGGCCGGACUUAGAUCCCUCCAGGGUUUUAUCCCCUUCGGGCCUGGAGUCCGGGAGGUCGCCUUGCUACGCCUCCAGGACCACCUCCUCCUGGCUCAGCCCCUUUCGAGACUCCGCCUCGGCUUCGUCCGUAGGGUGGGGGGAGGUAGCUGUCGGGAGUGAAAGACUAUUCACAUCCGACGAAUCCAGGGAGCCGCUCGACGAAUCAUCGAGCCGAGCCUUGGGCGGACUGCAUGAUUAUAUUCAGCGUCAGAAGGUACCGUGCAAAUAAAGGAACACCAUGAACUAUUCUGGUAUCCAUAUACUUACGAUUUGGCCAGGGGCUUGGCCCUGGAUGGCCACUCCUCUCUGCCGUCGUCGGCGUCGGAGGCGUAGUCCGAAAGAAGGGUCUUCCCCUCCUUGGACCCUCCGGCCUCCCUAGUUGGGGCGGCCUUUCUUUUCUUUCCUCCCCCCGUUGGAGGGGGAGAGGCUUCUUCUUCCUCCUCCUCGUCUUCGGAGGAGGAGUGCGUUUUGGGGUCAUCGGGCGAUGAGUCCAACACCGCGCCGGGAGCUCCUGCGAGUUCCUGUGGCCUUCUUCUUGGUCUUCUUCUCCGGCACCACGUGGGGUGCCGGAACCAGCAGCUUUGCCAAGUGGGCGUCUGCUGGGCCUUCGGGCAAAGGAGCCGGACAGUCGAUCUGUCCGACCUUCUUCUGCCAGUCCUGUUAAAGGAAUGGGAGUUUAGAUCCCGCAUAGAGUCAAUCUAUGAAAAACAAUUACCCCGUAAUGGGUAAACUAAGCUUACCACGCUGGCUUGGCGCUUCGCGCAGAAUCUGCGAUCCUUGGUAAUGGGAGGGUGAACCUCGGAGCUCUUGAAAAGCACCUUCCAGGCAUCUUCGUGCAUUGUGUCGAAGAGCCUGGACAAAGUUUGGUGCUGGGCCGGGUCGAAUUCCCACAAAUUAAAAGCCCGUCGUUGACACGGGAGGAUCUGGCGGAAGAGUAUGACCUGGACUACAGUGACAAGUUUAACCUUCCUGUCGAUCAGGUCUUUGACGCAGGUUUGGAGUCCGGUCACCUCCGCCGAAUUACCCCACGAUAGGCCCGUCUCUUUCCAUGAGGUGAGCCGUGUGGGGAUGCCAGAUCGGAAUUCGGGGGCCGCUACCCAUUCAGGGUCACGCGGCUCAGUGAUGUAGAACCACCCCGAUUGCCACCCUUUGAUGGUUUCCACGAAGGCGCCCUCGAGCCAUGUGAUGUUGGCCAUCUUUCCCACCAUGGCGUCCGCACUCUGCUUGCCGGCCACCCACGACCUUUGGCUUGACGUUGAAGGUCUUUAGCCAUAAGCCGAAGUGGGGUUUGAUGCGGAGGAAGACCUCGCACACGACGAUAAAUGCUGAGAUGUUGAGGAUGAAGUUUGGGGCCAGAUCGUGGAAAUCCAGGCCGUAGUAGAACAUGAGUCCGCGGACAAAUGGGUGGAGAGGGAAGCCCAGUCCACGGAGGAAAUGGGGGAGGAACACCACCCUCUCAUGGGGCCUGGGGGUGGGGAUGAGCUGCCCCUCAUCUGGGAGCCGGUGUGCAAUGUCAUAAGACAGGUAUUCGGCCUUCCUCAACUUUUUGAUGUGCCUCUCCGUGACGGAGGAGGUCAUCUGCCUACCGCUCCGGACAUUGUUGGAGAAGGUUGAGGUGGGAAGUGCGGACUUGGGCGCUAGAGCUCGAGUGCGCGGAAAUGGAUAAGCAAGGGAGGAAGAAGGCGUAAAUGGAAAGGGUGGAUCCUUAUCCCCUUAUAUGGGCGGCCGAAAUUAUGUGCCCCCACCAGCCAAGUAAAACUCGCUUAUCUCCCAAGCGCCGCAAUUAAUGGCGCGGUUGGGUUACCCACGCCCGUAUUGAUGAGAAUCCCGGAAUAAGGGGACAUGAUCUCUGCUUUGACAAGACGUGCCAAGGAAACCGCCUCGAUAAACGCGCUGAGGUGGGAUAGUAAAACUAUUCAAAUAAAGGCUUGGCCGCGGCAUGAUGUCAUGCUGCGGAAUACGUCAGCAGAUUAGAUUUGUACGAAUAUUAUUCUCUCUACGGUGGUAUGUGGAACUUAUUUUGCAGAGCCGGACACUAUCCUUGUGUUCAACAUCUUCUAUGAAGUAUUCGGAGGAGGAACCCGCCUUGCAAUGCCGAAGACAAUUUGCGCGCCGGACUCAUCAUCAUUGAAGCCUGGUUCAGGGGCUACUGAGGGAGUCCCGGAUUAGGGGGUGUCCGGAUGGCCGGACUAUGACCUUUGGCUGGACUCUCGGACUAUGAAGAUACAAGAUUGAAGACUUCGUCCCGUGUCCGGAUGGGACUUUCCUUGGCGUGGAAGGCAAGCUUGGCGAUACGGAUAUGUAGAUCUCCUCCCAUUGUAACCAACUCUGUGUAACCCUAACCCUCUCUGGUGCCUAUAUAAACCGGAGGGUUUUAGUCCGUAGGACGAACAACAAUCAUACCAUAGGCUAGCUUCUAGGGUUUAGCCUCUCUGUUCUCGUGGUAGAUCUACACUUGUACUACCCAUAUCAUCAAUAUUAAUCAAGCAGGAAUAGGGUUUUACCUCCAUCGAGAGGGCCCAAACCUGGGUAAAAACAUCGUGUCCCUUGUCUCCUAGUACCAUCCUCCUAGACGCACAGUUCGGGACCCCCUACCCGAGAUCCGUCGGUUUUGACACCGACACCCUCCUUCCCCCGCCCUUCCCUCCUCCGAUCCCACCGGCCUCCUCCCCCUCCUCCUCUCUCCUUCCUCCUCCCUCCAUCUUUUCUUUUUCUGUUUUUCACUGUAGUUUUUUACUAUUGUAUAAUGUAGUUUUUUUACUGUUUUUAGUAAGUGUUUAAAAUAAUUAGUAAGUAAAUUAAUAAACUAGUUGAACUAGUUUAGUUUUAGUAAGAACUAGUUGAAUUAAUAGAACUAAUGUAUUUUUAGUAAGAAAAUUAAUAUAACUAGUUGAACUAGUUUAUUUUUAGAAAGAACUAGUUUAUUUCUAUUUAUAGUAAGUUUAUUUUUAGUAAGAACUAGUUGAAUUAAUAGAACUAGCUGAACAUGUCACAUUUUUUUUAAUUUAAGCAAUUAUUCCCGCAUCGACGUCGAUGAUGCCUAUCCCGCAUCCUCGUCGUCGAUACCCAUCGUUCACUAGGGUUUUAGUUGUAUUAGUGAUGUUAUAUGUAUUAUACUAUUCGAGAUGUAUUAGUGAUAACUUAUAGGGUUUUUGUUUUUGCAGAAAUCAAGGAGCCCCUCCAUCAUCCCCGCCGUCGUCCCCAUCACCGACCCCCUCCGACCUCAAGGCGAGACCAACCAAAUCUCCAUGUCAAUAUGAGUCCUAUAAGACAUGAUGUAGAUAAAAACAUGUAUAUCUUGUGUUGCUCAAAUAGGAUAUGUGGUUGCCCAAGUGGCCGGUCAUGUUUGCAGGUUACACCUCCGAGUGUCCUAUGUUUUGCCGGAGUGUUGAUUAAUUUCCAUUCCGGCAAAUUUCAGGCCCUCGAUAUGUCCUGUUUUGGCAAAGGUCAUGCCGGAAUUUUCCUUUAAUUUUGGGAUGACUUGUGCUAGAAUAUGUAGGAAAUAUCGAGUGGCCUGGAUUUUCUAGAAAGAUAAUUAAACGAUAUUUCAGGUUGACUUUAAGACUGUCGAGGCCGAAGAAUCCCGACUGUUGUCGUGGGGGUCGUUUCUCCUUCUUCUCCAGGUGCUAGACCUUUGUUAUGCACUAGGGGAAGGAGGAGUAACGACCAUCACUGACGGUCGCAAAUGUCAGAGAGGAAUCAGUGAGGGAGAGUAUCCACCAUAUAUGAGAGGACGAAGAAUCCCGAAUGUUGUCGUGGGGUUAGCUUCUCCUUCGUUCCCAUGUGCCAGACAAUUUGGUGUAAUGCACUCGGGAACGAAAGGAGGAGCUACCAUCUCCGACGGUCGAAUAUAUACAACACGUGAGAUGAGAGUUUUCAAGAAAAGACUUGAAAGACCGAUAGUCAACCCGUGAUGAAUAAUAAUGAUCUAAUUUAGUUUUUGUAGUACAUAUAUUUAAUUGUACAAGUUUAAUCUUUGAAUUCUGAACAUAGGAAAUGUCGUCGGACAAAGAAGGUCCCGGGGAGUGCUCCUAGUGCGGCGACAAUCGGGGUUUCUGCGACAGGCCUCACCUGGACGAAGGUCGGCGCUUCAGCAUUAAGCUCGAGGAGGCCUUCGAUUGUGAAAUGGUACGGUACGACGCAAAGGUUUUUUUCAUAAUUAAUCUGGACUUCUACUACUUCAACGUGUAAUUUUCGUAUUUUACAAUUCGACUAGCUUAUCUCAUGCCAUGCAAGACGCUAUGUCUUGGAGAGGAUGGGUUUUGAAGAUCAGGAGAGGAAUGAAACAACGAAAAUUAACCUAAGGACCCAUCAUGGUAUGGAUUUUGAGGUAAAUCUAUACAAUUCUGAGAGCGUAUCCCGUUUUGGUUUCCCGGGUUGGGAAGCACUUUGCAAGAUGUAUGAUUUUCAAGAGGGUAUGUUUGUCACCAUGGAUCUUGGUGAUCCUCACAUCGACCAAGACAAUUUGGACAUUUGGGUCCUUGUUGAUACGCUUCCAAUUCUACCGCUAUGUGAGUUCCUCGAACAUAGUUAUUAAGUAAUUUAUAUUGUUUAUUUCAAAAUAGUUGAAAGCUUAUUUCCAUUGAUAGCUUACUUUCAUUCUUCAAAGAGUGUGUGGAAGAUGGUAGACAGAACCAACUACACUGAUGGCUCUAAGUUAACUUAUCAUGAGAAAAAUCAUCUGGUCACAUCUUGUACUCAAAUUUAGAAUUACAAUGCCUUUUAUAGAACUCCUCCAAAUUAUGGUCAAUACGUGCCACUAGUGCACGUGUUGAACCACGAUAACUUCCAUGGAGAUAUCCUGGUAAGAUUUUUUACUAUUAGGACAUCCGUGCAUCUUUUGCAUACUUCUAAAACUGAACUACAUUGCUAACUACGAAGUUAUUACUAUGUUUUUCAACAGAAAAUCCCGAUGGAUUGUGUGCCUCAUUUGAUGUAUCAGAAUGGUCGCCUUGAUGUUUUGAACAUACAACUAGGUCGUCCUACGAAUCUCACCUGUCCAUACCGGAUUUCUAAAAAGGUGAACACAUGAUAAUCAAAUAAUGGAAAAAAUGUAUGGACAGGCGUAAGGAGGUUCUUGGAAGCAACAUUGUGUGAAAGGCAAGAAUUGGAGACAUGAUAAUCUCCAUUCUCCAUAAUGGAGAGUCAGGGGCUAUCUUGUUUUAUGCUAUUUUACCUAAGAUAAUAUAGUAGGUCCUAAGAGAAUGUAGUAGGUCCUAUGAGGUACAAUAUGUUUAUGAGAGUUGAUGAUGAUGAGUAGUUGUGAUUAUGUCUAGUGACCAACUUGUAUGUGAUGUCUCAUUGGUGAAAAUGAUGAUCAUGAGGAGGUGUUAUAUGACAAUGAUGUAUUAUGAUGAUAAGUUGUUAAUGAUAUGAUGAUUAUGAUGAUAUUUAUUAUAUCAUUGGGUGAAACAACCGCAGAUUAGUUUCAAGUGGAUGUCCAUCCACUUGAAACUAGUCCACGGUUCUUUUUCCCCAGUGAUGUAAUAACUCAUUAUGAUGUAAAAUCAUUCUCUAAAUUGAUGCGGUAUGAAAACUUGUAUAAAGGUGUAUGAAUACAACAUGAAAUAAAAAAGAAAUACGGAAUAAUAGUAGUAGCGCGUGCUAGGAGAAGCGCUACUACUAAUUACCAGUAGCGCUCAUAGUAGAAAGCGCUGCUACUAAGUCGAUAUAGCAGUAGCGUGGUCCAACCCACACUACUGCUAACCUUUAGCUGUAGCGCCUUACAAGUAGCGCGGCUCCCCGCGCUACUGAUAGGCUUUAAACACGCGCUACUGCAGGGUUUUCCCUAGUAGUGUACGUUCGGUACUCGACCGGUCGGAACGAGAAGACGUUCGACUACAUCAACCGCAUUGAGCAAAUGCUUCCGCUUUCGGUCUACGAGGGUACGUGGACACACUCUCCCCCUCUCGUUGCUAUGCAUCUCCUAGAUAGAUCUUGCGUGAGCGUAGGAACUUUUUGAAAUUGCAUGCUAUGUUUCCCAACNNNNNNNNNNCCCCUUCGACUCUGACUACUCGUUGCCUGGCUUCUCCGACUUUGAUCUCGAGUAGAGCUUCAUUAUGAGAGUAGUCUAGCUAGAUAGUUUGAUAUCGCUAUAGAGUUGAUGUAGUAGGUAAUGGACUGUAUUAGUGACUGUACUAUUUAAUUAAGAUUUGUACGAUGUUAAUGUGGUACCAUGAUCUACUUAUGCAAUGAAGUAUUUAUCAGUGCUUGUGCAUAUGGUAUAUGCUUGCGUAUGUGAUAUGUGCCACGACAACUCCUUUUUCACGUUUCUUCUUAUUUGAUUUGUUUAAUUCAAAGACAUUAGGGAUGAAGAUUUUUGUUACAACCUAUUUUUUCCUUAAAUUUUGGAUGUGAACAUAGAAGCAUAUGCACUCAUGAUUUACCUUGCAUAUUUGGUUUUUGAAACUAGCGAGACCAACAUUGAAUUCAAAUUCAAUUUUGAGUUUAUUUGGAGGUCAUGAAAGUUUCACCAAAAAAUGAUUUUCAAAAAACUUGCAUAAGGGAAGGAUUUUUUUCCUAAGAUUAAUAUUUUCCCUAUUUAUUUUGUGUUAACCAAGGUUUGAAAAUGGUUUAAUUUGGGAAAUUAAACUAUGAUUAAAUCUUGGAUAAGAUAAACAAAACAGAAAACGGAAAAAGAAAAGAAAUAACUUUGCAAAUAGGCCCACUAAUUAUGACAAAAAUAGUUUGUCAAAAUCCUUUGAGAAAAAUUUAAAGCUGCUAGGAAUAUUUCCAAAGGAUUUUAGGAAGAAUUUUCUUUUUGAAGAAAAUUCAAUUUUACAUUCAGAUGUGAAAACAGAGAGGAAACCAGAAAUAGAAAAAGAAAAAAGAAAAAAUGGGCGAGGCCAGCCAGCCAACCGGGCCAAGCGCGGCCCAGCUAGCCAGCCGGCCUAGCCCCCCAUCCUCUCUCUCUCCCCCCACUGAUGAGCGGGCCCCGCGCGUUUACAUCACCUCCAACCUCCCGCAACCGCCACUCGCGCCCACACCCUGAACGUGCACGCACCCACGACCUCCACUCCGCGUGGCCACCGUGCUCGCCAGUGCCACCUAACCUGUCCUAUAAAUAGCCCUGGACCCCCUCUUCCGAAUCCCCAACCUUAUUUCACCCGAGUGCCAUUAGGCUGCUCGCAACGCUGUCGUCCUCUACGCCUCGGCAGAGAGAUCGCUAACAAGAUUUCGACGAGCCCCGACCCCCUCGCGACCACCUAGCCGCACCACAAGAACCAUCGCUCCAUGAAGAACCACCUAGACACCCUCUGCACACCCAGAUCCCUCAACAUCGAUGAUUUUGUCGGAGCCUGAAGCUCAGUGCCGCCACCGUCGUCUUUUUGGUGAGCUCCUCCAUCCAUUUGGUGGUGCACCUUGUGCAAACGACACCCCGCGCUCUUGUUGAUCUCUCUGAGCUUUUGGUUCACCUUGUUUCGCCCAGAAUCAAGCUCACAAUCACCACCCAAAGCUCCUCAUCGUUGUUCUCAACUCCGGCAACCCUACACCGUCGCCUCCAUCCACCCCGGCACCAACCGAGGCCACCAGGAGCCCUGCUGUCAUUGUCUGCAUCCGUCUGACCACCUCGCAGCUGCCAGGGAGCACUGGAGCAUCGAGUUCAUCCACACCCGAGCCGCACCUGAGUUUUCCGGUGAGUCUAUGGACCUAGCCACCACGGUGAGCCUCGAUCUGUUCUGGACCGCCCGCUCUUGAUCCAACACGUAGAAUAUAUCACGCUUUAAUUUAAAUUCUGAAAUGGUAUCAACCAAUCAGAGAGUGCCACAUAGCCAACCAUAUCCGAAACAUUAUCCAGAACAAAUUCGUUAAUUAAAAAGAAAAGAUAGUUUUGCAAAAAAGCCCCUAGACCUUGAGACUAUCAUAACUAAUUAUCCAGAUGUCCAGAUUGAGUGAUUCUUUUUUUAAAUAAAACCUUAAGAAUAAUUCUAGAAAAAUUAAAUUUUAAAUUUCAAAAUUUUAAUUUCAAACAGAAUAGUUUAAACACUAAAUAUCGCAUGACUUUUAAAAUAUAGAACCAAACUAGGUGAUUCUUUUUGCAUUUUGAAGAUAGAGAAUUGUAGUUCAAUUUAGUCCACUGUUAGUUAAAAUAUAAAAAAAAUGUAAAUUAAUUUUUGGACAGAAACUUAGCAACACUAGUUUCACAUUCAUUUGAAUCUAUUGGUGAAAUAAAAUUUGUAUAAUAAACCAAAUUGAAUUAGUAUAAACCAUAGACUUGUUCGAAACAUAAUAGGGCAUUAAAUAAAAAUGAUAUGAAAAUAAAUUUGAAUCAUGGUUUGAAUUAAUGGGAAUCCAAAGUAAUAAUGAUAAAACACUAGUUACUUUAUAAAUGAAAUUUAGUGGAAUAUUAAUGAGUUAAUUAAAACUAAUAAUUCAUUGGUGAUGACCCAGGAGAAAUAGACUUGAAACUAAAAGUGAAACUUAGGUCAAAUAAAUUCAAAUAGUGCAAGUCAAACCUCAAAUUCAAAUCUAAUUGCAUUAACAAGUGAGGGAUUUAAUUUAGUUAGGGUUCUUAAAUAUUGAACUAGGUUUGCCAAGUUGAACUUGUUAGGAAUUUGAACCAAGUCAACUAACCCUAGUUGAAUUGUGUGAUGAAGUCAAAUACCAAUCAAACUAGAAACACAAAUUGGGAAGACCAAACUGAAUGAAAUCAUACCAAACAAACCAACACCUUGUGAUGUGUCAUUUGUACCUUUGUAUUCAUGCAAGUUUUCCCUUUUCAUGAAUUGUGUGCUUAUGAUUACUAUGUGUUAUUUUUUGUCUAUGUUAGAUUACAAGGAGUGCAACCCCUGCGACUGUGUGGAGUGCACCGCUGAUAACAACAACAACCAAGGCAAGUUCCACUUUGACCAUGUACCUAGUAUUUUAUUGCAUUGUCGUUUUGCCAUGAUAAGUGUGUGAGUUUAGGAUGCUAACUAAUAUACCACCUCAUAGUUGACAACAUAGGUCCAAUCAUACCCUGACCUUGUAACUGCUACUUGUGAGCUGCGUUGGGAUUUCCUCGAAGAGGAGAGGAUGAUGAAAUACAGUAGAGAUAAGUAUUUCCAUCAAUUAAGAACCAAGGUUAUCAAUCCAGUAGGAGAACCACGCAAUACCUCGUUAGCAGCACCUACACACAAAAUAACAAAUACUUGCACCCAAUGCAAACAAGGGGUUGUCAAUUCCUUGGCGGUUAAUUGCAAGGACCAAAUCUCGUAGUGAUAGAUAGAUAAACAAACACAAAAAUAACAAAUACUUGCACCCAACACAAAUAAGGGGUUGUCAAUCCAUUGGUAGUUAAUUGCAAGGAUCAAAUCUCGUAGUGAUAGAUAGAUAAGCAAAAACACAAAAUAAAAUAAAGUAAAUAAAAUUGAAGCAAGGUUUUUUUGGAUUUUAAUGUAUGAUAAAAAUAGACCCAUGGGCCAUAGUUUUCACUAGAGGCUUCUCUCUUGAAAAUAAUAUAGGUGGGUGAACAAAUUACUGUUGGACAAUUGACAGAAAAGCAAAUAAUCACGACGAUAUCCAAGGCAAUGAUCAUGUAUAUAGGCAUCACGUCGGAGACAAGUAGACUAACUCCUGCCUGCAUCUACUACUAUUAUUCCACACAUCGACCACUAUCCACCAUGCAUCUAAGUACUAAGUUCAUAAAGAAUAGAGUAACACCUUAAGCAAGAUGACCUGAUGUAGACAAAGUAAACUCAAGCAAUAUGAAUAAACCCCAUCAUUUUAUCCUUAAUGGAAACAAUACACAUAUUGUUUUGUCCCCUUUUAUCACUGGGAUAUAGACCACCGCAAGAUUGAAUCCAUCACAAAGAACCUCUCCCAUUGCAAGAUAAAUCAAUCUAGUUGGCCAAACCAAAUCAAAAGGUCGGUGAGAAAUACAAAGCUAUAACAAUCAUGCAUAAAAUAGUUUAGAGAAGACUCAAAUAAUAUUCAUGGAUAAUCAUAUCUUAGUUUAGAGAAGACUCAAAUAAUACUCAUGGAUAAUCUUAAACUCACAAUUCAUCGGAUCCCAACAAACACACCGCAAAAAAGGAUUACAUUGAAUAGAUCCCCAAGAACAUUGAGGAGAACAUUAUAUUGAAGAUCAAAGAGAGAGAGAAGAAGCCAUCUAGCUACUAGCCAUGGACCAGUAGGUCUGUGAUAAACUACUCACACAUCAUCGGAGGGGCAACAAGGUUGAUGUAGAAGCCCUCAGUGAUCGAUCCCCCCUUCGGAAGAGUGCCGGAAAAGGCCUUUAGAUGGGAUCUUGUGAGAACAGAAACUUGCGGCGGUGGAAAAAUUGUUUUGGGUGCCUCUCUAUUGGUUUCCCGAUUUUAGAGAAUUUAUAGAGUAUGAGUUAUGCCAAGUAGAGCAAAGGUGGGCCCAUGAGGCACCAGGGCGCUCCUACCCCCUGGGCACGCCCUGGUGGCUCGUGGUUACCUCCUUCACCUUCUAACAUCCUCCUGAAGCUUCUACUGUCUCUUAUGUCCAUAAAAAAUCAUCAAAAAGUUCCAUGGUGUUUGGACUUCAUUUGGUACUAGUUUCUGGGAAAACCAAAAACAUGCAAAAAACAGCAACCAACACUUGGCACUAAGUCAAUAGGUUAGUCCGAAAAAAUGAUAUAUAAUUGCAUAUAAAACAUCCAAGAUUGAUACUAUAAUAACAUGGUACAAUAAAAAUUAUAGAUACGUUGGAGGCGUAUCAGUAGCCAUCGAGUAGUUUCAUAACUGCUAUACCGUGGAUUGGGAAACAUCAAUUAUUCCACCAUACAACCUCAUGGUUGACUACUUAACUACAACUUAACUAAUGAAUCAAUCUGGGUGGACUGUGUUUGAUUGGGUCAUCGGAGUGUAGUCAUUGGUGGGGAAUGCUAGCCAGGUAUCAAAGGGAUUGUAUGGGUUCAAAGUUGAGUAGCUUCCAUGUGUAACCGUGAGACAAUAUGGGCUCUGUCUGGACAAAGUAAGUUGUGUGAACCCUCCUGGGCAUGACCCAUAGAUGUAGGUGUGUAGGUUGGAAUGGGUCUACCAUUUUAGAGAGGGCUACUACUUCCCAAAAGUCUCAUCUUGAUCUACCUAGCUAUUUCACAUGUGAAGUUUAGUAGUAGGAAGGUGUGACCGGGAAUCACAGGUAAAGUACACAAACCUCUGCAGAGUGUAUAAAAUGAUCAUGAUUAGCCAUGUCUCUAGUUACAGACAAUUUUGAGCAAUGCAUCGGAGAAUUGUCAUCUUGAUCUUAUCACCUCUUCUAAUAAAAUCAAUGGGUUGAACCAAAGGGGAGUAUGGAGCCAGUCUCAAAGGACUGGGGGUACCAGGGUCUCUGGAGAAAGGCUCGGGGCAACUGUGCGAUGCGGAAGCCCACAUACUAAAACAACAUUAUGGAUGGCCGCGUGAUACAAUUUGUCUAGGAAUGUUGUGUGAUAUUUGAUGACCCACAAGUAUAUGGGGUCAAUUGUAGCCUUUUCGAUAAGUAAGAGUGUCGAACCCAACGAGGAGCAGAAGGAAAUGACAAGUGGUUUUCAGCAAGGUAAUGUCUGCAAGUGCUAAAAUUAUAAGUAACAGAGUUUGAUAGCAAGAUAAUUUGUAACGAGCAAGUAACGGCAGUAGUAACAAAAGUGCAGCAAGGUAGCCCAAUACUUUUGAGUCAAAAGACAUGCCAAAGCUGUCACUUAUGAUAAUCAAAGUGUUCUCGAGGGUACACGGGAAUUUCAUCUAGUCACUUUCAUCAUGUUGGUUCGAUUCAUGUUCGCUACUUUGAUAAUUUGGUAUGUGGGUGGACCAGUGCUUUGGUGAUGUUCUUACUUGAACAAACCUCCUACUUAUGAUUAACCCCCUCGCAAGCAUCCGUAACUACAAGAAAAGUAUUAAGAAUAAAUUCUAACCAUAGCAUUAAACUUUUGGAUCCAAUCGGUCCCUUACAAAAUAGCGCAUAAACUAGGGUUUAAGCUUCUAUCACUCUCGCAACCCAUCAUCUAAUAACUACUCCACAAUGCAUUCCCUUAGGCCCAAAUAUGGUGAAGUGUCAUGUAGUCGACAUUCACAUGACACCACUAAGGGAAUCACAACAUACAUAUCAUCAAAAUAUCGAACACAUAUCAAGUUCACAUGAUUACUUGCAAAAUGAUUUCUCCCAUGACCUAAAGAACAAAAGUAACUACUCAUAAAUGAUAAUCAUCCUCAAGAUCAGAGGGGUAUUAAAUAGCAUAAUGGAUCUAAACAUAUAAUCUUCCAUCAAAUAAACCAUAUAGUAAUCAACUACAAGAUGUAAUCAACACUGCUAGUCACCCACAAGCACCAAUAUAUAGUUAUGGUAUAAAGAUUGACCACAAGAGAUGGAGUAUGGUUUGAGAGGAGUUGGUGCUGUUGAAGAUGAUGAUGGAGAUAGCCCUCCCCAAGAUGGGAGAGUUGUUGGUGAUGAUGAUGACGAUGAUUUCCCCCUCCAGGAGGGAAGUUCCCCCGGCAGAAUCGCUCCACAGGAGGGCAAAAGUGCCCCUACCCAAGUUCCGCCUCGAGACAGCGGCGCUUCGUCCCGAAAGUCCUCCCCUUAUUUUUUCUAGGUCAAAAUGACUUAUGUACCAGAAGAGGGGCACCGGAGGUGGGCCUGGGUGAGCACAACCCACCAAGGCGCGCCUGGGCUCCCUGGCGCGCCCAGGUGGGUUGUGCCCACCUGGUGGGCCCCCUCUGGUACUUAUUGGGUCCAAAAAAACCUCAUUUAUUCCAUAAAAAUUCCUUGUAAAGUUUCAGCUCAUUUGGAGUUGUGCAGAAUAGGUAGCCUGACGUAGCUUUUUCAGGUCCAGAUUUCCAGUUGCCAGAAUUCUCCCCCGUUGUGCAUACCUUGCAUAUUUUAAGAGAAAAGGCAUUAGAGUUACUCCAAAAAGCAUUAUUAUGCAAUAAAACAACAUAAAUAACAAUAGGUAAACAUGAUGCACAAUGGACGUAUCAACUUCCCCAAGCUUAGACUUCGCUUGUCCUCAAGCGAAAACCGAAAUCGAAAAACAUGUCAUGCUUAGAGAGAGAGAGAGAGAGUGGUGUCGAUAAAAAAAAAUACAGACAUAGCAGCAUCAUGUAACUUAUUAUAACAACUAAAAACUUUAACAUAAAACUUUUAUCAUAGAACUUUUAUCACAGACUUCUCAUGAAUAAGUAACAAUUCAUCAGAACACCGAAGUAUAAAGUAUAAACUCUAUUGGAAACCAACAAACGAUGUUCUCAGUCAACUUUGCAACUACAAUUCAUCAUCUUUUCAGGAAGGGUCACGUAUCGGAGCCUUUAGUCAAGUCCACAUACUCAACCAUCAUUUAGUCUUCUAUGAUUGCUAAUACUCACCGCGUACACAUGAGCAAAACGUUUCAACUGGACACAUAGAAAGAUAGGGGCUUAUAGUUUCGCCUCCCAACGUAUUCACCUCAAGGGUGAUGUCAACAAUAAUAACUCAUGCUACCCAUAUUCAACUGGAUAUAUAUGCCUAGAUCUUUCCUCACCACAUGAUGCUUGCCAAAGGACAAAAUAAAAAGGAAUAGAGAGAAGAACUUUGACUCUUGCAUGAAAGUAAAUACAUAAAAGUAAAAGAUAGGCCCUUCGCAGAGGGAAGCAGAAGUUGCCAUGCGCUUUUUUUGUAUGCUCAACCCCUUAGUGUAAGAGAACGUCACGUUAUAUUGCACCUUAUGAUGGCAACCUUUAUUAUGCAGUCUGUUGCUUUUAUUUUCUUCACUAUCAUAAGUUCGUACAAUACUCAAUUUUCUCUUACACUAAAUGAUCUAACACUUUUAGAUGCAAUUUUUAUUACCUUUUUGCAAUGAUGAAAACUUACUUGAAGGAUCUUACUCAAUCCAUAGGUAGGUAUGGUGGACUCUCAAAACAAGAUUUGGGUUUAAGGGUUUUGGAUGCAUAAGUAGGAUCUCUACUUAGUGUGGAAUUUUUGGCUAGCAAAGGUAGGGGCAAACACCACAUGUUGAAGGAUCUAUGACAAUAUAACUUCUAUGUGAAUAUGAGCAAACAUAAAUCAUUAUGUUCUCUUCCUUGUCCAAUGUCAACAAUUUUGGCAUAUAAUAUUUUGAUGGGUGCUCACAAUCACAAAACAUUUCCAAGAUAGUGUAUUUGCAUGUGAAUCUUCUCUUCCCUUAUUAAUUCUUUCAUGAGUUGCAUCAUUGACUAAUGCUAUGUUUGUCAAUCUACAAUAAAAUUUUCUACUUGUACUUUUCCUUGUGUAAUGUCAUCACUUACCAUAAGAUUAACAUAUGAUAUUUUUCAUUUAUUUCCUUUCUUUUUAUUGAAAACUGAAAGUAAAAGAGGCAAAACUCAAACUAAACUUCAUUAUAUAUCUCACACACGAUUACAGCGAUAGAUCACUAAGCAAACUCUCAAAAAGAAAGGAUCGAACUAAACUUUUAUUCAUCGAAAGCAAAAGAUAACAAUGGAUCAAACUAAGAAAAGUAAAGGCAAAAGAUAGUGGAGGUGCUACGAUACCGAGGCACAUCCCCCAAGCUUGGCGAAAGCCAAGGGGAGUGCCCAUACCCGAUACUCAAUUUUCUUUUGGUGAUGAAGAAGGAGGUGGUUGUGAUGAAGUAGUAGUGACCCUGUCCUUAAGGACCAAGAGAUUCUCCAAUCUACAAAUGACGCUCCGGGGGAAGGUGAUGUGCUCUUGAUGCAGAAUAUUUUCACGAGUGAGAUACUUAUUUUGUAUAUGGACCGUUUGAAUGAUCCUGAAGGCUGCAAUGUCAGCAGGGGUAAGAUGAGCAUAGUAUGGUUUAAGGAUAUCUUCCUCUUCCUCCUCGGCAGGCAGAGCUUGCUCGAUCAGCGACACUUGAUCUCCGGUGGCCUCCUUGCUCUUGUCCUCCUUGGUUGCUCCAAGGGGCUCUUCCCUCUUCAGCUCGAUCUUCAUUAACCAAGCAUCCUCUUCCACAUUGUUAGAGGAAGAAGAAGACAUGAUGCCUGGCUCAACAGAUCUGACAGAAAACAACGAGAAAAGAAAACAGGAGAUUUCUCCGUGAUACAGAGGUCAACAGGUUCGGGGAGUAUAUAAAUAUUUUUUAUCUUGGCAAACAAGGAAAAUGGAGUCCGGAAGGUACCUGAGGUGGGCACAACCCACCUAGGCGCGCCUGGCAGCCAGGCACGCCCUGGUGUCUUGUGCCCACCAGGGUCACCUUCCUGGUAGUUUCUUAUUUUCCUAAAUUUUUAAAUAUUCCAAAACUGACAAAAAAUAUUUUUGCGGAUUUUUCGAAGUUCGUUUACUUACCGUAUCACGUACCUCCUCUUUUUCACGAUUCUGGAGUGUUUCGGAAGGUUUCUUUUAUGUGUUCUUCCGGUGUCAUAGUUUGGAUAAUAUUGCUUUCAACAUUAAUGGGUGUACCUGAUAUAUAAUGUUUUAUUCAUUGCCCAUUAACAGCCUUCGGGUUAGUACCUUCGACAUUGUUUAUUUUGAUAGCUCCAGAUCGAUAAACCUCCUCGAUAACAUAGGGUCCUUCCCAUUUGGAGAGGAGUUUUCCUGCAAAGAAUCUGAAAUGAGAGUUGUACAAAAGAACAUAUUCUCCAACUUUCAACUCACGCUUUUGGAUUCUUUUGUCAUGCCAUCUUUUAACUUUUUCUUUGAAUAACUUUGCAUUUUGAUAAGAUUGGGUUCUCCAUUCAUCUAAUGAGCUAAUAUCAAAUAACCUCUUUUCACCAGCAAGUUUGAAAUCAUAGUUGAGUUCUUUAAUUGCCCAAUAUGCUUUAUGUUCUAACUCAAGAGGCAAAUGACAAGCUUUUCCAUAAACCAUUUUAUAAGGAGACAUACCGAUAGGAUUUUUAUAUGUUGUUCUAUAAGCCCAAAGUGCAUCAUCUAGUUUCUUAGACCAAUUCUUCCGGGGCCUAUUGACAGUCUUUUGUAAAAUUAGUUUUAUUUCUCUAUUGCUAAGUUCAACUUGACCACUAGACCGGGGAUGAUAGGGUUAUGCAAUUCUAUAGUUAACAUCAUACUUAGCAAGCAUUUUACAGAAAGCACCAUGAAUAAAAUGUGAACCAUCAUCAGUCAUUCAAUACCUGGGGACUCCAAACCUUGGGAAAAUAACUUCCUUAAGCAUUUUAAUAGAGGUGUUGUGAUCGACACUACUAGUUGGAAUAACUUCUAUCCACUUAGUAACAUAAUCAACAACAACCAAAAUAUGAGUAUACCCAUUAGAGGAAGGAAAAGGUCCCAUGAAAUCAAAUCCCCAAACAUCGAAUGGUUCAAUAGCAAGUGAAUAGUUCAUAGGCAUUUCUUGACGCUUACUGAUAUUACCUAUUCUUUGAAAUUCAUCACAAGAUAAGACGAACUUAUGGGCAUCCUUGAAGAGAGUAGGCCAAUAAAACCUAGAUUGCAAUACCUUAUGAGCGGUUUUGUCUCCCGCUUGAUGUCCUCCAUAAGCCUCAGAGUGACAUUCCGUAGGAUUUGUUCCUGUUCAUGCUCAUGUACACAACGUCUAAUAAUACCAUCUACUCCUUCUUUAUAAUGAUGUGGGUCAUCCCAAAAGUAAUGUCUUAAAUCAUAGAAGAUUUUUUAUUUUGUUGGUAUGUAAAGCUAGGUGGUAUGUAUUUAGCAACAGUAUAAUUAGCAUAGUCAGCAUACCAAGGUGUACUACUAGAAACAUUUAUUGCAGCUAAAUGUUCAUCAGGAAAGCUAUCAUUAAUAGGUUGUGGGUCAUUAAGAAUAUUUUCAAGCCUAGACAAGUUAUCAGCUAUGGGGUUCUCUGCUCCUUUUCUAUCAGUGAUAUGCAAAUCAAAUUCUUGUAGUAGAAGAACUCACCUAAUGAGUCUAGGUUUAGCAUCUUUCUUUUUCAUAAGAUAUUUUAUAGCAGCAUGAUUAGUGUGAACGGUCACUUUGGAAUUAACAAUGUAGGAUCUAAAUUUAUCACAAGCAAACACCACUACUAAGAAUUCUUUUUUAGUAGUAGCAUAAUUUCGUUGAGCACUGUCUAGAGUUUUACUAGCAUAAUGGAUAACAUUUAGUUUCUUAUCAACUCUUUGUCCUAGAACAGCACCAACAGCAUAAUCACUAGCAUCACACAUAAUCUCAAAAGACAAGUUCCAAUCAGGUGGUUGAACAACAGGUGCAGAAAUCAAGGCUUUUUUGGGUGUUUCGAAGGCUUCCAAACAAUCAUCAUCAAAAACAAAAGGAAUAUCCUUUUGCAAAAGAUUUUUAAGUGGCCUAGAAAUUUUAGAAAAGUCUUCGAUAAAUCUCCUAUAGAAACCCGCAUGACCAAGGAAACUAUGAAAACCUUUGAUAUCUUUAGGACAUGGCAUUUUCUCAAUUGCAUCAACCUUGGAUUUGUCCACCUCAAUGCCUCUUUUAGAAAUUUUAUGGCCCAAAACAAUACCUUCGUUAACCAUAAAGUGGCACUUCUCCCAAUUCAAGACAAAAUUUGUUUGCUCACAUCUCUGCAAAACUUGAUCAAGAUUGCUUAAACAAUUAUCAAAAGACUUCCCAUAAACAAAAAAGUUAUCCAGGAAAACCUCAACAAUCUUUUCACAAAAAUCAGAGAAUAUAGCAGUCAUACAUCUUUGAAAGGUAGCAGGUGCAUUGCAUAAACCAAAAGGCAUAUGUUUAUAAGCAUAAGUUCCAAAGGGACAAGUAAAAGUGGUCUUUUCUUGAUCAGUUUGAGAAACAGGUAUUUGUGAAAAACCAUAAUAUCCAUCAGGGAAGCAAAAAUGUGUGUGCUUAGAUAAUCUUUCUAGCAUUUGGUCAAUAAAAGGCAGAGGGUAAUGAUCUUUUCUAGUUGUUUUAUUUAAUUUUCUAAAAUAAAUUACCAUUCUAUAGCCUGUGACGAUUCUUUGUGGAAUAAGUUCAUUCUUAUCAUUAGGAACAACAGUUAUACCUCCCUUCUUAGGGACACAAUGAACAUGACUUACCCAUCUACUAUCAGCUAUAGGAUAGAUUAUAACUACUUCCAAAAAUUCCAAUAUUUCCGUUCUUACCACUUCUUUCAUCUUCAGAUUUAACGGACGUUGGUGAUCAACAAUGGGUUUAGCAUCAGGUUCCAGUAAUCUUGUGCUGACAUAGAGUGGGACUAAUGCCCUUAAGAUCAUCAAGAGUAUAUCCAAUAGAAGCUCGGUGCUUCCUUAGAACUUUCAAUAAUCUUUCUUCUUCAUGUUCUGAAAGGUUAGCACUAAUAAUAACAGGAUACAUCUUUUUCUCAUCAACAUAAGCAUAUUUCAAAGUGUCUGGCAAUUGUUUUAAUUCAAACACAGGAUCACCUUUAGGUGGAGGAGGACCUCCUAGAGUUUCAAUAGGAAGACUGUGUUUAAGCAGAGGUUGUUGUUCGAACAACAUUCUAUCAAUUUCAUUUCUUUCAUACAUAUGCAAAUCAUUUUCAUGGUCUAGCAAAUAUUGUUCUAAAGGAUUAGUAGGAGGUACAACAAUAGAAGAAAGACCAAUAAUUUCAUCCUUACUAGGCAAAUAUUUCUUAUGAGGUUUUCUACUAAACUUGGAAAAAUUAAAUUCAUGAGAUUCAUCCCCAAAGCUAACACUGACAAUUUGUUUCUCACAAUCUAUUUUAGCAUUGACAGUGUUCAAGAAAGGUCUACCAAAGAUAAUGGGACAAAAGUCAUCUUGUGGGGAACCAAGAACAAGAAAAUUAGUAGGGUCUUUAAUUGUCCCACACAAGAUUUCAACAUAUCUAACAAUCCCAAUUGGUGAUAUAGUAUCUCUAUUGGCAAGUUUAAUAGUAACAUCUAUGUCUUCUAUUUCAGCUGGUGCUAUAUCAUUCAUAAUUUCUUCAUAUAAGGAAAAAGGAAUAGCACGCACGCUAGCACCUAAGUCACAUAAACCAUGAUAACAAUGAUCUCCUAUCUUAACCGAGACAACAGGCAUGCCAACAACUGGUCUAUGUUUAUCUUUUUCAUCGGGUUUGGCAAUUCUACUAGCUUCAACACAGAAGUAAAUAACAUGCCCAUCAAUAUUAUCGACCAAGAGAUCCUUAACCAUAGCAACACUAGGUCCAACUUUGAUUUUUAGCCGGUUUAGGUGUUCUAAUAUAACUUUUGUUGACCAUAGUUGAAACUUUAGCAUGUUUCUUCAUCCUAACAGGGAAAGGUGGUUUUUCAAUAUAAGCAGUGGGAACAACUGGGUCAACAUUAUAAAUGAUAGUUUCUUGUUUAGCUUUUACCGGUUCAUUAAUUUCUUCUUUAAUUGGUGGGUGAUAUUUGAACCACUUCUCCUUAGGGAGAUCAACAUGAGUAGCAAAAGAUUCACAAAAGGAAGCUACUAUCUUAGAGUCAAGUCCAUAUUUAGUGCUAAACUUUUGAAAAGCAUCGCUCUUCAUAAAAGAUUUAACACAAUCAAACUUAGGCUCAAUAACCAACUCUUUACCUUCGUCAAGUUCCCAAUCUUCAGAGUUGAGUUUAAUUCUUUCUAAAAGAUCCCACCGGAAUUCAAUAGUCUUCUUCAUAAAAGAACCAGUAGAAGAAGUAUCAAGCAUGGAUUGAUCAUUACGAGAAAGCCGAGCAUAAAAAUUCUGAAUAAUAAUUUCUCUCGAGAGAUCAUGAUUGGGGCAUGAAUAUAACAUUGACUUAAGACCCCCCCAAGCUAGAGCGAUACUUUCUCCUUCAAGAGGCCAAACAUUAUAUAUAUAAUUCUGGUCACGAUGAACUAGAUGCAUAGGAUAAUUUUCUUGAUGGAAUUCCAAUUUCAAUCGAUUCCAGUUCCAAGAUCCAAUAUCAUUGCAUAGCCUAUACCAAGUCAAUGCCUUUCCCUUCAAAGAUAAAUGGAAAACCUUCUUCUUAGCUUCAUCUCCGGGCAAACCUGCAAGCUUGAACAAUCCACAAAUUUCAUCCACAUAUAUUAAGUGCAUAUCAGGAUGUUCGGUUCCAUCUCCUGCAUAAGGAUUAGCCAACAAUUGUUCUUCCAUACCCGAAGGAAUUUCAUAUUCAAUAUUUUCAGUAGGUGCAGUAGGUUGAGGGGCAACUAAUUGUGGUUCCGGUCGAGGUGAAGAUACCCCAAACAAACCCCUCAAAGGAUUAUUUUCCAUAGUAACAAGCGACAAUAAAUUUCAGCACGUAGUAAUAUUUUUUCCUUACCAAUUUACACUUACCAAUAGCACUGCACUCCCCGGAAAUGGCACUAGAAAAUGGCCUUGAUGACCCACAAGUAUAUCGGGUCAAGUGUAGCCUUUUCGAUAAGUAAGAGUGUCGAACCCAACGAGGAGCAGAAGGAAAUGACAAGUGGUUUUCAGCAAGGUAAUGUCUGCAAGUGCUAAAAUUGUAAGUAACAGAGUAGUUUGAUAGCAAGAUAAUUUGUAACGAGCAGGUAACGGUAGUAGUAACAAAAGUGCAGCAAGGUAGCCCAAUCCUUUUGAGGCAAAGGACAGGCCAAAACGGUCUCUUAUGAUAAGCAAAGUGUUCUUGAGGGUACACGGGAAUUUCAUCUAGUCACUUUCAUCAUGCUGGUUCGAUUCAUGUUCGCUACUUUGAUAAUUUGGUAUGUGGGUGGACCGGUGCUUAAGUGUUGUUAUUACUUGAACAAACCUCCUACUUAUGAUUAACCCCCUCGCAAGCAUCCGCAACUACGAGAAAAGUAUUAAGAAUAAAUUCUAACCAUAACAUUAAACUUUUGGAUCCAAUCGGUCCCUUACAGAAUAGCGCAUAAACUAGGGUUUAAGCUUCUGUCACUCUCGCAACCCAUCAUCUAAUAACUACUCCACAAUGCAUUCCCUUAGGCCCAAAUAUGGUGAAGUGUCAUGUGUUCGACGUUCACAUGGCACCACUAAGGGAGUCACAACAUACAUAUCAUCAAAAUAUCGAACACAUAUCAAGUUCACAUGAUUACUUGCAACAUGAUUUCUCCCGUGACCUCAAGAACAAAAGUAACUACUCAUAAAUGAUAAUCAUGCUCAAGAUUAGAGGGGUAUUAAAUAGCAUAAUGGAUCUGAACAUAUAAUCUUCCACCAAAUAAACCAUAUAGUAAUCAACUACAAAAUGUAAUCAACACUACUAGUCACCCACAAGCACCAAUCUAUAGUUCCAGUACAAAGAUUGAACACAAGAGAUGAACUAGGGUUUGAGAGGAGUUGGUGAUGUUGAAGAUGUUGAUGGAUAUAGCCUUCCCCGAGAUGGGAGAGUUGUUGGUGAUGAUGAUGAUGAUGAUUUCCCCCUCCGGGAGGGAGGUUCCCCCGGCGGAAUCGCUCCGCCAGAGGGCAAAAGUGCUCCUGCCCAAGUUCCGCCUCGAGACGGUGGAGCUUCAUCCCGAAAGUCCUCCCCUUAUUUUUCUAGGUCAAAAUGACUUAUGUACCAGAAGAGGGGCACCGGAGGUGGGCCUGGGUGAGCACAACCCACCAGGGCGUGCCUGGGCUCCCUGGCGUGACCAGGUGGGUUGUGCCCACCUGGUGUGCCCCCUCUGUUACUUAUUGGCUCCAAAAAUCCUCAUUUAUUCCAUAGAAAAUCCUCGUAAAGUUUUAGCUCAUUUGGAGUUGUGCAGAAUAGGUAGCGUGACGUAGCUUUUUCAGGUUUCCAGCUGCCAAAAUUCUCCCCCUUUGUGCAUACCUUGCAUAUUAUAAAAAAAAGGCAUUCAAAUUACUCCAAAAGCAUUAUUAUGCAAUAAAACAACAUAAAUAAUAGUAGGUAAACAUGAUGCAAAAUGGAUGUAUCAAUAUUGUAUGUCCAGCUGUUAGAGUAGACCACUACUAAAUAAAUAGGGAAAACUAUAUUUAUGCAAAGAGCCUUGAACCCCACCAGCCAAAGUGCAUGUGGGUGAACAAGUUUCCAAUGAACCGUGGACUUACCAAUACAUUCAAUGUAUUGACCCUAGUGGUUGCAUGAUACGUCUCCAAUGUAUCUCUAAUUUAUGAAAUAUUCACGCCAUGUUUACAACAAUUUUAUAUGGUUUUGGUGCACUUUUAUAUUAUUUUUUUGGACUACAUAUAAAUCUAGUGCCCAGUGCUAGUUCCUGUUUUUCCAUACCAAAUGAAGUCCAAACGCGAUAAAUAUUUACGAAGAUUUUUUAUGGAAUAUGUGAUUUUUGGGAGGAAGAAUCAACACAAAACGGUACCCGAGGGCUCCACAAGGCAGGCCGCCACACCCUACCCCCUGGGCGCGUCGGGGUGCCUUGUGGGCAUCCCUUUGGUCGGUUGGAGCCCUUGUUGCGCAGCAAGAAAACCAAUUUUUGGUGAAAAAUCGUGUAAAAAGUUCAGCCCAAUCAGAGUUUCGGAUCUCCAGGAAUAUAAGAAACGACAAAAGGACUCCGAAAACAGUCACGAGAAACAGAAGACAACAGAGAGUUCCAAUCUAGGGGAGAGCUCCCUCUUUCCACGGAGGGCCAAGGACGAAGGAGGGGCCCCUUCCUCCUCUCCUCUUGUGGCUCCAGGAGGACGCCGGGGACAUCUUGAUGUAGGGUGGAACCCUAGUUCAUGAUCUUUUCACACCCGGAGGUGGGUAAAUGUGAAAAUCAAGAGAGAAACACAAGAAGAACACUUAAUUGAUCAAAAUCCAAUCACACAUGUGCUAAAUCCACAUACACAUAUAGGGAUAUAAAGGUCCAAAUCAAACACAAGAAGCCAAAAGAGGAACUAGUUCAUUCCAAUUCUUGGAGGAGUUGAGGUCUUGGUAUACAAGAGGAUCUUCCCUAGAAGGGGUCUUGAAUCCACUAGGGGAUCUUCUCACAUGGAGGCCUUGAUCUCCAUGGGAGAGGGAUAGUCGAUGAGAAAAACUAUAUCUGAUGUGAGCUAAACCUUUGCUUACCUUAGCUAGGAGGAGAAGGGGACCUAUAUAUAGUCUUGGACAGAAUAAUAGAGGAGGGGAGGGGUUACAUGGGCCUCUAGCCCGGUUGUGCACUCACAGGUGCCGUAUGUUUAGGUUGGGGGACGGAUGUCCGGGGCUUCAGGGGACGUUGGAUGUCCGGCCUAGGGCUGUUCCAGUUUCUAUAUGCUUCGGGUGUCCUUGGACUGGUUAUCCGGGUGGAGGUCGGAUGUCCGGGGCAGGGCCGGAUGUCAGGAUCCUGUAGCUUUUGCAGCACAGUUCUGCUGUUGUCCUAGGGGCGCCGAAUAUCUGGACUAGGGCCGGAUGUCCGGUCGCUAUAGCUCGUUGACACUUUCUCUUGUCGUGUUUCCUCGUAAGCAUUCGUGACCACUUUGUCUUCAUUCCGAGUGUCUCCGAGGUCAUGCUCUUGAUACCUAAGCACACACAACACUUCCCUUUGAUGUAGUAGCCAUGUUUCAUGUGGUUCAUAUGGUAGUUCAUUGAAGAGAGAUCUCACAUCGAUCUCGAUAGCUCUUGCACGUGCUCUUGUCAUCAGUCCACUUGGAACUUGGCGAGGUGACAGUGUGUACAUGGGGAUGACCGUGGGAUUCUUCGUAUUAUCUCCCCCUUGGGAAAUAUCCGCUCUCAGAUCGACAACCUCAUCACCAUGGAAGGGAGAUAGGUCCUUGACAUUGAAGAUGUCGCUCAUGUUGUACUUGUCACGUGGUAUGUCGACCUUGUAUGCAUUGUUGUUGUAGCGUGCUAACACCUUGAAUGGUCAAUCAGCGCGAGGUAGAAGUUUUGACUUGUGCUCGUUGGGGAAGCGUUCUUUGCGUAGGUGUAUCCACACAAGAUCUCCAGGGUUGAACACCAUGGGGUGCUUGUUGAUGUUGAGCUUGUGGGCAAGUCAUUGUACUUGGAGCUUGAUCGUGUGCCUUGUAUUUUCAUGCACCUUCUUGUGGUAACUUGCCCUUGCUCUCGUGUCCAUGUUAGUUCUUUCUUGUAGUGGUAGCCGGAGAAUAUCCAAUGGGGACAAUGGGUUGAAGCCAUAGAUUACCUCGAAGGGGGACUUUCCGGUUGUAGCGUGUCAUGCUCGAUUGCAGGCGUACUCGGCGAUAGGCAAGCACUCUUCCCACUUCUUGAUGUUUUUCUUGAUCAACACGCGGAGAAGUGUGGAUAGCGUCCGGUCUGUGACCUUUGUUUGGCCGUCGGUUUGUGGAUGAUAUGCCGAGGAGAAUAGUAGCUUGAUUCCAAGCUUGACGCAUAGUGUUUUCCGAAAGUAGCUUAGAAACUUAACGUCGCAGUCUCACAACAAUCGUCUUGGUCACUCCAUGCAAUCACAAGAUUUCUCUACAAAAAAGAUUUACAACAUGUGAAGCAUCGUCUAUCUUGUUGUAAUGAAUGAAAUGUGCCAUCUUAGAGAAACGUAGUAAUGUAUCGGUCCUAUUCAACUUUUAAGUAAUUAAAUACAAGAAAUUAUCUAUGGAAAAUGGUUCACAUUGAAGUCUAUCCAUGACUUCUUAAUUAAGCUGAAAAUGUGUCCGUGCUUACGUGUGUGCUUGUGUUGGUGUACAUGUACAACUUGGAAUGGUGCGUUUUUUUAUGUCCAUUAUGGUUAUGUAAUUUAUUUAUAUCAAAGAUUAUCCAGAUUAGCUGCAGACUGUAUGAUUUAACACAAACUGGUUACUGAAGUUCAGAAACUACCGUCCUAUUGAUCUGUUCCAGGUCAAGCAUCCUAAAGUGGCACAGUUUUUGGGUGGAAGGCUUUAUGAUUGUGUCUUCAAGUUCAACGAGGCCUGAAAAACUCUGAAGCCCCUGCAUGGCACCGCCACAUUGCAUUCAUUUUAAUCAUUGAUCAUUGAUGCGAUCCUACACUGAAUGUAUGCGUCCACGAUGAUAGCAAGUGGAAGAAAUUACAAUUCGCUUGUUGUAGUGUGAGGGAGAACAAUUUUUAUAGUAGAUGUGUCAAAACACCCCUUUCAGCGCUUCAGGUUAAUAAUAUAAGAGUAAAUUGAGGUGCAUGUUGGAAUUCCCUAUUUGCUGCAUAUUGCAGCAAACUGCGUCAGAGCGAUGCGAUGGGCUGGCCCAUUUGUGUAGAUUGCGUAGGUACUACACCAUCCAGUUCCGAUUCUUUCAUCGGUUUUCCGGUUUCUUUUGGUUUUUUGUUCCUAAACAUGACUAGAAAAUGAAUCUAUGAAAAACAUAAAACCAAUCCGUGCCUACCGUGCAUGGUGCGAAAUCCCAUCAAAACUCCCUAAUUGUGCCACUUGUCACCACCAAAGAAGGUGAGAGUGACUGGCUUGGAGUUGGGCGGAAUAGCAAGUAUUCUUUCAUUAAAAUGUACAAAUCAAUCUACUCAAGAACCGAUGACAACCCUUUAUUUAAAAAGAUAUGGAAUACUGAAAACAGACUAAGACACAAGAUUUUUUCCUGGCCUAUUCUGCAUGGCAGAAUCAACACAAGAAACCUUCUUAAGAGGAAAAAUAUGUUUCUGAAAUGUUACAACUAUGUGUUUUGGCUGUAAUAUGUUUCGGAGGAAAAAAUAUGUUUCUGGAUAGAUAAUAUUUGAUUCAUUUAUCUAUUAGUUGUAAUACUAGCCUUUAUUGGUUGUAACCCCAUCAACCAUUGUGACAUUCUUUUUUGCUUUCUUAUUAAUGAAAAAUGACACAUAGUAGGGCUCUUUGUCUUACUGUAUUAUGGUAAAAAAACGUGUGUUUGCAAUGAAGCCACUGAGGAGACUUCGAGGCAUUUGUUUUGGGAUUGUGAUUUCUCACAAGACUGUUGGAACAACCUGUUUCCAUCAAGAAAUCGAGGGAUCUCCUGCUUUGAUGACAUUGUGCUCACCCAAUAUCUACUGCCAAAGCAAAUAGCGUUGGAUAUCAUCAUUCAAGGAUGUUGGCAGUUUUGGACACAAAGAAAUGAAAAAUUCUAUAGAAAAGAAGUGCCAAGUGUCAACUACUGGAAAUAUAGGUUGAAAGAAGAUCUUCUUCUUUUACAAUAAAGAACCAAAACAAAGAACCAUCCCAUUCUUCAAGACUGGAUCACUGCACAUCUGUGAUAUUUGCAAUACUACAUUUUUACCAGCCAUAGAGUCUGUUCCUUAAAAAAGGAAUCGGAUAAAUGUAGCCUUUUCUUUUUCUUAGAUUUAUAGAUUUUCUAUUUUGUAAAUAUCUCUUUAUUAAUGAAAAAUUACCGUAGAACAGUUGUUCUACUGUUGGUGCUUCAAAAAAAAGAAGGUGGGAGUGACCUUUGCAAGAGUCACCCCUUUGCUAGUGAUUUUGGGUCUUCCCUCGUAGACGCCAACAGGCGUCAAAUGAAAGCCUCAUGUAACCCCCUUUCCUGAUAGCCCCUUUACUGUAUUGAGGAACUCGAGCCAACCCAAUGGUCUAGUAACAACUAGCCUCAAGAACUCAAAGCAAAAAACCGACCCCAUGUCUCCUUGGGUAAUAGUCGUUCGAUCUAUUUAAAUACCACAUUUGUAUUGAAGCAAGAAUUACGACAACAACAUUUGCUUGACAAGUUGUGAAGCAACCUGUGGUUGGACGGUUAAGAGGACCUCAGCCCACCAGAGUUCAAGUCCUGGAUUUAUUUCAGGCUUCCGAUUGAUGUUCGUUCAGUGAGAUGAGACGUUUUUGUCGACUGCGAGGCGCCUAUGGUAACUUCGUAAAAUCUCAAGAUGAUACGCCGCCCAGUCUCUCGAUGAUGCUCAUAGGGAUAGGGUGUGCGUGCGUUUAUAGGGGUGAGUGUAUGCUCAUGUAUGUGAGCGACUUCGAUUGUACCAUAUUAAAAAUCAUUUUCUUGACAAGUAAAAAAGGCUAUCCAACUCGCCAUCGAAUUCAUAUGGCGCCACAUCAACUUGUGGCUAAUCAGCAGAUGAUUGCACAAAUUGCUCGCGGUUCCUUGAAUGAUGUGUUGCUGAUGAUUUUCCGGUAGUCGAAGAUUUACAAUUGGAGAAUUUGAUCAUGAAAUGGUUGGGCGUCAAUUCUCUGUCUUCUUCAGCCGCUACUUAGGCCUCUGUGCUUGUACACCCGCGGCUGAGCAUGAGCAUGCAUGCGCGAAGGACUCUUGAUGUAGCGUUAGUAGUCCUUGAUAUUAAAAAGAAAUCAUUAUGAUGCGUUUGGUUGAGUUUGAUAGGGAGAUUACAGUUUAGGUCGAUUCAAUGGAUUAGAUAGGCAGGCCUGAAAAUCGUUUUGCCUGUCAAACUACCGUGUCAUGUAUUCAUGUUGUGCCUCUUGUCAUUCCUUUUCUUUAUGUCACCCGCUAUAUCAUUCCUAAAACCUAUUGGUGUUGUCAUAUGUAGAGAUGCUAAUGAUAUCAUAUUGUUCUUAAAAGAUGAUAAAUAUGUUAGUAAUUUCAAGCAACACGUUUGAAACAAUGGCUCGGGUGAAGACCGAUUUGGAAAAAAGUGAGAUGCUUUUGAUCGAAGAUGACUAUGAUUUCCACUAUUUUUACUCGUCAAAUGGCGUACUUUGCUGGAUCAUUCUCGGGCUCUUGUCCAUCUUGCCCUAACGAUGAAUGAUUCUAUCCUUCAAUUGUGGACCUCUUGGCAACUAUCCAUCCCGCCAAAGCUUCGCAAGGGCCAAGUCGGUGGUGAUUUCCUUGCUACAAUGCAUUUGGCUUGAGAGGAGCCGGCAUGUCUUCAAGCACACCUCUUUGCUCCCUUUUGUGGUAGUCGAUAGAGUAAUUGAUCAUUGUCGUGAAUGGCGAACGGUAGGAAACAAUAGUUUAAGAAGAGUAGUACCAUAAGUCUCUUGUUGUAGACUGCUCGGGCUUCCACCUUUGUUGGCACCAUGGGGCUACUCAUCUAAAUCAUAGAUGCUUUCUGUCAUAAUAUAUAGGCACACAGAUCUCCUCGUGUUCUAAAAGAAUCAAUAAUCAAAGACCACUUACAAUUUAAAAGACAUCUUCUCUUUUAUACAUAAGAUGAGAAACUACACAAGAUUGGCUUGCUCGCCUGACUUCUCAACCUUACAGACCUUGCUCCUAUUACGCGAGCAUAAGGAACAUUUUUUAUUUAACCACAUCACAUUUCAACAAAGAUGCUUAGUUAAAACACAAACACAUAUCUAGUUGUUGUUUUCAUAGUUCCAACCAUUGCUACCUCUUGGCUCUUGCACAUAUCCAUAUCAGGGAUAGCCACCGCCACCAGAUCCUCCACCGUAACCUCCACCAUACCCGCCACCACCACCAUAUCCUCCACCUCCACCAUAUCCACCGCCACCACCAUAUCCCCCACCAAAGCCGCUGCCAAAUCCACCAUUUCCACCGCCAUUGCCAUACCCGCCACCAUAUCCAGGUCCAUAGCCUCCACCGCCGUAACCACGCCCAUAACCGCCACCGUGCCAAGAAUUGCCGUAUCCUCCACCAUACCCACCAACAUUGUUUCCAUAACCUCCAUUGCCAUAACCUCCACCAUUGUUCCCGUAUCCACCGUUUCCAUAACCUUCACCACUUUUUCCAUAUCCCCCACCGUUACCGUAUCCACCACCGCUUCCAUACCCUCCACCAUUUCCGUAUUCUCCAUCAUGCUUGUUUCCACCUCCCCAUUUCUCUUCCUUAGGCAGGCCCGACCCUCCUGCAGGUUUCACAUUCUUCUCCUUGGACUCU